rnacentral:lncRNA from 1 species
UGCUCCAUCACAGUGGCCUCAGGCGAAUUUCAUGGCUACUCCAACUCCUACCCAACCUAAUUGGAUUGUGGACUCGGGCGCCUCUCAUCACAUCACCUCUGAUCUUCAAAACUUGUCCAUCCACAACAACUAUGACGGAAAUGAAGAUAUCAUCAUCGGUGACGGUAAAAGAAUUCCUAUUACUCAUUCUGGUUCCUCAACGCUUAGUUCACUUACCACAACUUUUACACUCGAUGAUGUUUUGUGUGCACCUAACAUUAAAAGAAACCUCAUUUCUGUUUCUCAAUUCUGUAAACAAAAUAAUACUUCAAUUGAAUUCUUUCCUAACUUUUUUCUUGUCAAGGAUUUGAGCACGGGGGCAUCCUUGGUUCAGGGCCAGAACAAAGAUAACAUUUAUGAGUGGCCAUCCGCUUCGCAAAUUACCCUUCCUACUGCUCACUCUUCAGUCGCAGCUCCGGUUGAUGUAUGGCAUCGUCGUCUUGGUCAUCCCUCCCCUUUUAUCCAGCAAAAAUUACUUUCUCGUUAUUCUCUUCCUACCUUGAAAAUCAAUAGCACUGUCAGUCAUUGCGAUGCUUGUCUUUGCAAUAAAAGUCAUAAACUGCCUUUUGGGACAACCUUUAUUUCUUGCUCUAAACCAUUUGAAAUCAUUUAUACUGACGUAUGGGGCCCUGCCCCAAUUCCUUCUUUUGACAAGUUUCGUUUUUUAUGUCAUUUUUAUAGAUUAUUUUACUAAGUACACAUGGUUAUAUCCUCUCCACCAUAAGUCUGAUGUUUCCAUAGUAUUUACCAACUUUCGAAAGUUGGUCGAAAAUUUUUUUCAAUCUUCCAUUAAAACGGUUUACUCUUAUGGCGGAGGCGAAUAUCAAGCCCUCACAUCUUGUCUCUCUGCUUGUGGUAUACAACACCUCAAGUCACCUCCACAUACUCCCCAAUUGGUUGGCUCUGCCGAACGCAAACAUCGGCAUAUUGUUGAAACUGGUCUCUCCCUUCUACAUCAAGCAUCCAUGCCACCACCUUUUUGGUCAAUAGUCUUUCAAACUGCAGUUUAUCUCAUUAAUCGUAUGCUCACUCCAGUCUUACAAUACAAGUCACCAUUUGAAAAAUUAUUCCACAAGCUUCCUAACCUUCAUAAACUCAAAGUUUUUGGUUGUUUAUGUUAUCCAUGGCUCCGUCCCUAUGCGUCACAUAAGUUAACACCACGAUCUAAGCCUUGCACUUUUAUAGGCUACUUCCUUGAACAUAAUGCUUUUCGAUGUUAUGAACCCCAAACUAAAAAAAUCUUUAUAUCACGUCAUGUUAUUUUUGAGGAGUCUGUCUUUCCUUUUCAAAAUAAUCCUACCAUGCAAGCUACUCCGAUAAACAUACAUCACUGGAAUAUCCCUCCGAUCUCUUCACACGAACCUCCAAUGACACAGUCCAGUCCUUACCCUCAAGAUCCGCAUACUACUAUUACUCCUGUUCAACAGCUUCUCACUCCCUCUAUUUCUCCACUUCCUUCCUCACAAGUUUCCCCUAUUAAUGAGGUAAUACCCUCGGCAAUAUUGCCACUAGCUUUACCUUCUCCUAGACCUAGUGAUAUUGUUGUGCCGACGGUUGGCCCGGUCCAUGACAAUGACUCGCCCUCGGCUAUACCACCAACACAAUCUACCACUUCCAUUCCCCCUAGACAUCCAAUGACAACACGCUCCAAGAGUGGUAUUUUCAAACCACGUCAGGUCCUUGACUUACAUGCUAUAACAAGUUCCUCCACUGAGGUUAGUGAACCCACUACAAUCACUCAAGCCCAAAAAUCUUCUCAUUGGCGUAAAGCCAUGUGUGACGAAUAUGAUGCUCUCCUCCACAACUCUACAUGGACCUUAGUACCCUUUCAUCACACACAAAAUAUCAUCGGGUGUAAAUGGGUCUUUUGAAUUAAGCGGAACCCAGACGGAUCUGUUGCCAGAUAUAAAGCAUGUCUAGUCGCCAAAGGGUUUCAUCAACGACCUGGUGUCGACUUUACAGAGACAUUUAGUCCCGUUGUUAAACCCACAACAAUCCGUCUUAUAUUGAGUUUGGCCAUCUCAAAGGGCUGUCACAUACGACAAUUGGAUGUUAACAAUGCCUUUUUACAGGGGUCACUUACUGAAGAUGUCUUUAUGCUGCUACCUCCUGGUUUCGUUCAUCCUCAAUAUCCGAGGCAUGUCUGCAAACUUCAAAAAGCUAUUUAUGGACUUCGUCAAGCUCCAAGGGCUUGGUAUAACGAGCUUGGCUCGUUUUUGACCUCAAUUGGCUUCAUCAAUUCCAAGUCUGAUACCUCGUUAUUCAUUUGCCAGCAGAAUGGAAGCAUAAUAUAUCUUUUAGUAUAUGUGGAUGAUAUUAUUGUCACAGGAAAUGAUCCUUUGAAGACUCAAGCAUUUCUAAAGCGCUUGGCCGAUCACUUCUCCCUCAAAGAUCUAGGAACUUUAAGCUACUUUCUAGGAGUGGAAGCAACAUUUACAUCUUCAGGUCUCUUCCUAUCACAAAGAAAGUAUAUUCAAGAUUUAUUAUCAAAGACAAAUAUGCAGGAUGCGAAAGAGGUUACAACUCCUCUCUCUACUAGUGAAUCACUUAAAUUAUGUGAUGGAAGUCCUGCUACAGAUUCGACUCAAUAUCGACAAGUCCUUGGCUCCUUACAGUACUUGGCUCUCACGUAUCCAGAUAUUUCAUUUGCCGUCAAUAAAUUAUCACAAUUCAUGCAUCGACCAUCUACUAUGCAUUGGUUUGCGGUCAAACGAAUUUUGCAAUAUCUUAAAGGGACUCUUAAUUAUGGCAUUUUUCUUCGCAAAAAUACUUCACUCCAUCUCCAUGCCUUUACUGAUGCUGAUUGGGCAGGGAACUUUGAUGAUAGAACAUCUACGUCAGGAUACAUUGUCUUCCUUGGAGCCACUCCAAUCAGUUGGAGUUCUAAAAAACAAAAGACGGUUGCACGAUCUACAACUGAAGCUGAAUACCGUGCCAUCGCCACCACCGUUGCUGAACUCAAUUGGGUCACAAAUCUGCUCAAGGAACUCAACGUCAACUCCAUGGUUAUUCCUACAAUAUAUUGUGAUAAUAUUGGCGCUACCUACUUAUGUGCCAAUCCAGUGUUCCAUUCCCGCAUGAAACACAUUGCCAUCGACUUCCACUUCGUGCGAGAUCAAGUUGUCAGACAUCAACUCCGUGUUUCUCACGUACAUCAGCUGAAAAAUCCUCCCUACUGUACGUGUAUAACCUCCCUGCUGAGUGUGUAUAAAUAGCUAUCAAGAGCUCACUAUCAAAUGUAUUAGCCAAUUACAUCUUAUACAUAUCAUAGUUUCUUUUACAAUUUCUAUCUUUCUAUCUUCUUCGUUUAAUUCUUAUCAAAUCUACGGAGAGUGACUUUUGUCUUUUUCUUUUAAUCUAGAUACUAUAAAGAAAUCAUGUAUCGGAUAACAAUUGAUAUUCUUCCUAUCACUCUACACCUUCGUUUUAGCAUAUUAUCCCAAACUUAUAUGACAUUUACGUUCUCACAUCAAUUUAACAACGCUCGGGAAGCAUUAAAUAUUGAGGUCUAUCCUCUCUCUCUCUCUCUCUCUCUCUCUCCAUUAGGAUUAGGAAAUGAAAUAUGAAAAUUAUGAUGUCAUAAUAGGGCAUUGUUGAAAGGCUUAAACCACCUAAAUUCAAAAGAGAAAGAAUAUAUUCAAUUAAUCGAUCCAAAUGCUUAAGCCAUCCUAAAUUUGUUGAAAACGCUGAGACUUGAUUUAAAUGAAUUUUGGAUUUGCUAAGAUAAUCGUGCAACAUAUAUUUAUAUCGUAUCCCAUCCCAUCCGAGUUUGGAAACAUAUACUUCGAAAUAUGAUUAUUUGAAGCUUUGCAAUUUUUGCCAAAAUAAAACAAGAGAAGAGUGUGUUUAUAUUUAUGAGCCGAAAAUUAAAAACAAGAAAUGUAUAUCUUAUUGAUCUUAACUCGGAAAUAUUUGUACCCGAAGAAAUCUGGCUUGUGCUCUUGGACCUCCAAUUACUAGUUGACUCCAUUGCAUCAUCCUUAGGUCUCUUAUAUAGGAGGUGAGAGGCAUCAUGAGAUGCCACUAGUGAUUAUAUUUAGUGAAACUUGUGUUGCUACAUCUUAUUUAUCGGUUAAGCUUCAUCUGCUUAUAUUUGCACAAAUCUCAAAUCAUCAUUCGGUGACACCACAUCAAUUACUAGAGAUGACGAAGCAUUUGUAGGAUAUUCCACAUCAACAAAGCAUAAAAAGGAAAUAUUUCUUCAUUAAACUGAUAGAUACAUAUUAACUUGAUCGUUAAAAAAAAAUUUUGAUUGUGUUUGAAAGAAUAUUUAUAUUUUUUACAUGUAUUUUGAGAAAAGGAUUUGAAUGAAUACGCAAAAAUGAAAAGCUACUAUUUGAUAAACAAUAGAUGAAGACUAUAUUUUAAAUGUGCAGUAAUAUAAGUAUUAUUUGGUAAAAUUAUAUUUCAAAAGUCCAAUUUAUCUUUUCAAAUAUUUUUAAUAUUUAUUCAAAAUGAAAUUAAUGUUUUUAUUUAAAUUAAUAAGUAAAUAAAUUAAAUAAAUGUAUGUAUGUAAUCUUAUUUAAAAAAAAUUGUAUGGCGUAGCCCAAAGACUCUCUCUCUCUCUCUCUCUCUCUCUCUCUCUCGACUUUAAAUUAGUCUCACGAGGGGCUCUCAGUGAUGAGGGCUUAGCCCAAGACAGUUUAAAUAUAAUAUUGCAUAUUUAAUUCUUGCGAUAUCCAAAUGGCAAAUGGCGAAUAAAUAUAUGAACAUAACAUUCUUGCUUGAUCGUCAUGUUUGUCAUCAAAUCUCAAAUUUAUUCCCUUUUUUCAGGCAGUAUCUGAUCAGAUAAUAAUGAAUUAUGUAUUUCAUAUUCCUUCUCACGAGAACCUCAUGAAUAUUCGUCUAUUACGUACGUAUGCUUGAACAACGCUAUUCUUCAACAUACUUCAUUUGCGAGUUAUAGUAUAUCAUAUAAGUUUACUUAACUCACCAUAACCUUUCAAAAAAAAAAAAAAAAGUAAAUAUAGAUAGUGAUUUCAUUAUUAUUAUUUUUUUCCAUAAAAGUGAUUUUAGGAGUUUGUUGUGUUUUCAUAUUAAUUAAGCAUAACACAUUUCAUUUAUAAGUGUAACAUAAUAGGGUUCAUCCAAAUCACCUAAAUAUUUUUCAAUAUAGCAGGAAAAUAUGAUAUAAAAAGUGAUUCAAUCAGUUAAUAUAUUUUUAGAUGAUGUUAGGAAAUUUUAAGUUGAAUUCGGGUGGAUUCACUUUCAAACCUCGUAAUAAUCCUUUUGCUGUCUUUAUGGACGCCUACCAGUAAAUUCUGAAAGGAGGAUCACUCUUUGAUUAAAAACUAAUUGUGAAUAAUAUAUAUAUAUAUAUAUAUAUAUAUAUAUAUAUAUCAUUUAUUUAUGCAUGAAGAAAUGAUGAAAAGGCUCUUUUAAUGCAAUGUGAUAUGACUGCAGUGUGUCUUCCUCAAUGCUCUAAAAAAAAAAACAAAACAAAAGUGUCUUUGCCGUGCAAUUAUUGCAUGUAGUGAUUUCAGUAUCUACUUCUCCUAACUACAAUUCUUUCAUCUUUAGCCGCAUGACUUGGGUUGAUGCAGCUGCGUCAUAUGACCAUAGCUUCAGAUCACGUGACUGACAAGCAUCUCGUGGCUUCUCCCUUUUGUUCUUCCAUCAUACCUCUCUCACAUUCCUUCCUUCCAACGACACUGUCAUCAUGUCCUUUUCUCUCUCUCUCUCGAUCUCGAUCUCGAUCUCCAUGGCUGAAGAAUUGUUGACAAUUUCAUGUGAUCAAAUAUGCAUGCCACAUGCCAUUCACCUGUUUCUCUUCUCCUCCUCAUUCUCGGAUGAGUGAAAGGUGUCUAUCAGCCACUUUCCUCUCUCUUUCUCUUACUCUCACUCUCUUCUCAUCUCCAUGCAUGGCAGUAGAAAUGUCGAUAAUGUCAUGUGACCAAAUGUGCAUACCAUAUACCAUCCACCUCUCUCUUCUCUCUAUCUUGUUCUCUCACAUCCAUGGCUGGAAAAGUGCCAAUUCCUGAUACUAUCCACAUAUCUCUCUCUCUCUCUCUCUCUCUCUCUCUCUCUNNNNNNNNNNNNNNNNNNNNNNNNNNNNNNNNNNNNNNNNNNNNNNNNNNNNNNNNNNNNNNNNNNNNNNNNNNNNNNNNNNNNNNNNNNNNNNNNNNNNNNNNNNNNNNNNNNNNNNNNNNNNNNNNNNNNNNNNNNNNNNNNNNNNNNNNNNNNNNNNNNNNNNNNNNNNNNNNNNNNNNNNNNNNNNNNNNNNNNNNNNNNNNNNNNNNNNNNNNNNNNNNNNNNNNNNNNNNNNNNNNNNNNNNNNNNNNNNNNNNNNNNNNNNNNNNNNNNNNNNNNNNNNNNNNNNNNNNNNNNNNNNNNNNNNNNNNNNNNNNNNNNNNNNNNNNNNNNNNNNNNNNNNNNNNNNNNNNNNNNNNNNUACUACUACUACUACUACUACUACUACUACCUACCUACUCUCUCUCUCUCUCUCUCUCUCUCUCUCUCUCUCUCUCUCUCUCUCUCUCUCAAAAAUCCAAGCUAACUCUCUCUUGCUUUUCCAAGCAACAAGCAAUAGCAGGACUUUUGCAUGUGGGGGCAAGAACCUAAGAGGACAUAAAGGGUGAGGUUCCACCAAGCUUUUCCUGCUGCUGCUUGGGCAAGUUUUGUGGACCUUCACCUAAAGCAACAAAGGCACAUGUGUGUGACAACAAUGGGGUUCCUUCCCCACCACACAGCAAUGCAGAUCCUUGGGCCACUGCUUGUUCCUCCUCCUUUGUGACUUUUAGGAACAAAGACCAUUAGUUGAGACAAUUAUCUUCCACAUGAAUAAUAUUUCUUGGCUCUAUCAUUGCUCAACAAAAAGAAAGCAGCAGAAAUAUCAAUCAACACGAUAUAUUCAAAAAACUGUAAUGGUUUUGAUAUGUAAAUUGCAUACGAUUUAUGAUUAAAGGUUCAGAAAGGAUUACCAAAGGCUUCAUUAGUCAAAUGUUAUUGAUGCAGAAAAUAAAUAAACAUAUUAUUUUCUAUAUAAAAAUAAUAAUAAAACAACUUAUUGUUUAAAUUCAUUAAUAUAUUUUUUGUGAAGAAUAUAAAUGAAGUAGGAAAAAACAAAAACAAGGAACAGUAUGAACUUCGAUCUUUAAUACCAAAGUAUACUAUCUGAUGGGACAGUUUGCUGUCUGCAAAAGCUGUGUUCUUUAGCAUCCUUGACAAAGAUUUGACCCAAGCACAUACCUAUCGAGUGCAAUAUCUUCAUGUUCUUGUUCAGAGCCGACAGGAGAAGUAAUUUCUGGUGCUACAAUUAUAUGUACUUCCAGGCUCGUAGCUUGUUCCUGCAAAAGUCCACCUCCAACCUCACAAAAAUUGGAGGAAAAAUUCCACCGCAGUUCGAUUAAUUGAUCCUAAACACUAAUAUAGACAAAUUCAAAGGGAUUAAGAACGAACGAAACGUAUGACUUGAUCAUGUACCAUUUACUCGUAAUAAUAUUAUAUAAAAAAAAUUAAUUGACAUAGUAAUAUUCAGGGAUCUGACAAUUUAACAUGCCAUCAGAGUGGAAGGCUUUAUGUUCAAUUCUUUGAUGGAUUGGCGAUGAUUAAAUGUUUCAAUAAAAAGUGAAUCUUUUGAAAGCUACAAAAAAAAAGAAUAAUUGAGUAGUUGUAUGGAAAACCAACACCAUUGGACAUAACCCAAAUCCCUAAAUUAUCUACAAACAACUAUUAUUCUUUUCCAGCAUAUUAUUUUCAUGCAUCGUUUUAGUGGUAGGCUCAAACUUAAUGAUAGAUUUUUUUUGUUAUUUUCAUGCAUCUCUAAAUUUUUGGUCUCUUUACAUAAUGCUCAUUACCUAGAUACUAGUAUCUCUAAAUUUUUGUUAUUUUCAUGCAUCUCUAAAUUUUUGGUCUCUUUACAUAAUGCUCAUUACCUAGAUACUAGUAUCUCUAAAAACAUGAAAUGUGUCUGUGUGUGUGUAUACUAUGAACUCAAAACUCAAAACUCAAUUCUUUGAAACCAAUAAAGAUCAGAUUUGUUAAGCAUAAUCUCGUGAUCAAAGGCUUUGAAGCGUGCAUGAUUUUCUUUUUGGCAUAUAAAUAGUGAUGCUUUCUAAUAUGUGCAUCAAGAAAGAUAAACAACACAUACCCAAAACUUUUAUUUCAAAUGGACCAAAAAUAGAGGAGCAUUGAACAAGAUAAGACUGUGUCCAAACAUCUAGUAAUGUUCAGAACAUAUUUAACGGCUUGGAUCACUAAAUGAAAUGAUCUAGAUCAUUGUUAAUAUGCACAAAUAUUAUUCGCACCAUUAAUCUUUUAUUGCAUCGCCGAUAAAGUACAAUAUGUUCAGAUUACAUAAAUUUUGAUUCUUUAAGCACCAUCAAUGAUGAUCAAAGUAGCUGAUCUUGAUUUCAGAAACAUUAAUCAAGUUUGAGUUGCUCGGGCCAAAACCUAAUUAUGUGAAAUACUGGUCUUUCAUGUGAACCAUGUGGUCCUACUUUUCUUCUUCACAGGGAGAGUCCCAUACAAUGACCUCCCAAAAGGCAGCAUUUGUCACAUCCACUUUGAUCCAGGAGGUGUGGGUGUGAAUUGUGUGAAGGGAAAGACUUAAAAGAUGUUUUGAGUGCCAUAAGAUUCCUUGCUUCCAUUGAUAGAUGUGACAAUUUGGACAACAAGAUGCCUACAGUUCAUCUCUCUUAUACUAACCGGGUCUGGAGGCAUAUGUUCCCUCUCUUUUUCCUCUUUCUCUUCAGACAGUGAAACCAGGAAAAGGGCACUAAAUAAGUUGUAGUUCCCCUUCAAAUUCAAAUUGCUAAGAUGGCAGGUGUGCUGUCUUAGCUUUGCAACUUGCUAUGUGGUGACAAUGAAGUCCCUUUAUUCUUCUUAUUUAUUCUUUCUUUAUAUUUCUUUUCUCGAAGAACCUAAUCAAAAUGCAGCAUCUACUGCUCAAGUUUUAGUACAGGAUAUAGUGACCUGGUCCGUCACAUCUCCAUUGUCUGCUGGUCUUAUGAGUCAGAUAGACCACAAUUUUAUGUCAUUAUCAUAUGUUCGUUCAUACGAUCAUAUUUAGGUGCAACCUUGAGACUUUAAUCCUGCUACUAAACCCCAAAGUAUACUUCUUAUUCAUGUCCUCAAUAGCCUCUAAUUAAAGGUUUAUUAUCCCCUAUAACUCAGUAAACUCAGCUGCUACUUAAUUAAUUCUUCUACCUGGAAAGCGUGCAGCUUAUUUCUAUUUUGCAUGAGACAUCUUUAGAUACAUGCUCUGAGAGAAGGACAACAUGAAGUGUCAAAUCCAAGUUUAGGGACCACAUUACAAUCUGGCAUUGAUUAGCAGAAUUUAGGAACACUUGUGAUCUAAAUUAGCAUUCAUCUUUUGUUAGACAUCAUAAAACGAAUGAAACCAGUGAUGCAUAAUCCAUGUCAUUGAGUUCAAAGCAGGCAUUGAUGUACUCCUUGUGCACCAUAAAUGCUCUUUGCACAGAGUUAAGAUGUCGAAGAGGAGGUAGCAGCAUUGUUUAGCAGUCCAGAGUCGUAUCAAAUUGAACUUUAAGAAUCUCUAUAUAUGUUUGUAAAUGUGGGUUUUGGAGGAACCUUUGAUCAGUCAUCCACUUCCAAUAAAAAAAAAAACAUUACAUGUACUAUGUAUGUUAGUUUGACCUCGAUACAAUCUAGGGUUUGGGAAAUUUAUUGUACAGUCAGUCAUAUGGACAUGAAUUGGUCCAAGAUUAGAAAGGAAUACUUGAGGGCACGAAGAGGGAUUAGAACUAGAAGGUUUGGAGUAAAGUGCUUUGAUCAUGGAAUUGAAUAUUUCGAUAUCGGAAGGCGAAAAAGGCUCCGAAAUCUUUGAACAGCUCCAUUGUCUAGACCUAACCGAGGGUCUUAAUCUCUCUGAUGUUGAUAUCAGUGGAUUUAGUCAGAAGAAGAAAAAGCCUGUGCAAGCCAAGAUCCAAUGGCAUCAAAUUAAUGUGUAGUUUUCUGGCAUGAAGAACCUUGAUUAUUGGUGAAAUGACAUCAUUCAAGGAAUGAAGCGAAACAUUAGUUUUAGAUAAAGCUUGUUUUAAAAUGACCUCUUAGGAGGUUUACAUCAGGCAAACUUGCAGGUUAAGUUACUUUUGAGAGAGGAUGAAUUGAAGUCAUCAGAUGUGGGUUGUUUUAGGCAUCCUCGCUGUUGCAGUACUAUAAUAGAGAAGAAGAAUUAGGAGCAGUGUGAGACUAAAAGGAGCCUAUAAAACAGCCUUGUGCAACUAUAUAUAUCUCUCUCUCUCUCUCUCUAACUUUCCUUUAUUCUUUUGAGCUUAUAGAAAUGAGUCAGUGUACGCUUGGUAGGAAGGUGAUGAGGUAACUUCUCAGGGUAAGGAGCCUCAAAGCCAUGCAUUACUUAAACCUGUUUUGACCAUAUAUUCCUUUAUAUCUCUCUUUAUUAAGAAAGCAGGAGAGAAGAGAUCCCAUUUGCCUUCCAUUCCACUUCCUUUUCCCUUGUCUAUCUUCCAUAUGUCCAUUUGUGCUUCGUAGAUAACAGCACAAGGAUGGAAGAAGACGGAGUCUUGUAAGCAGUGGAGCUUCUUCUUCCCACUUUUGGAACAAAACACCAUUUCCCAGCUUCAACUAUAAGCUGUGAGUGGCAAAGGCCGUGAUCAUAGGAUGUCACUGCAAGAGAUAGUCUCUGAGACCAACCCUACAGCCUCGCCCGAUCUAUCUUUACACAUCGGGCCUCCAUGCGUCGUCCCUUCUUCGCUCUCCAACGCAGACAGCGUCUCCCGAGUCUCUUCGGAGGCCAACAUCCAUCAGAGGUUUCGAGGACCGCCACCACAGGUUAACGACGAUCGCAAUCCUAAGUCUGGACUCGUUCAGCAAGGGUUUUCCUCCUUCCUUUCAUCAUCAUCAUCUUCUUCUAAUGGCUAUUCGAACAAUGUAUACCUGAUGGGUUCCUACUUGCAACCACCCAACGGGAGCCAACCUUCAGUCUCGUCUUACCAGUGGACGCCUCAGCUACCACCACCGACAUGGAUUGCAGGGUUAUACCGCCACCUCCCUUGUGGUGUAGGAUCUUUGUCGAGAUCAGGGUUUAUGCCGAGAUAUCCGACGAAGCGGAGCACGAGGGCGCCAAGGAUGCGGUGGACCAGCAGCCUGCAUGCUCGCUUUGUCCAUGCCGUCGAGCUCCUCGGCGGCCACGAGAGUAUGCCUCCUGAUCUUGCACCCACUAUUACCACCUUUGUGUAGUGUGAUCUUACAUUUUUUGUGCUUAUGACUGUUUGAUCUGUGCAUAUAUGUUGCUUUUGUGGUGGUUUGGCACCAGGAGCUACGCCAAAGUCGAUUCUGGAGCUCAUGGACGUGAAAGAUCUUACUCUCGCCCAUGUCAAGAGCCACUUGCAGGUAUUCUUUUUGAACUACCUUUCAUCUCUCUCUCUCUCUNNNNNNNNNNNNNNNNNNNNUACCUUACUAUCUCUCUCUCUCUCUCUCUCUCUCUCUCUCUCUCUCUCUCGUUGUGCAGAGUAGCCAAUUGAUGCAGUGAACGAGUAAAUGAAUGGGUGAACGCGUCGUGAGUUGGUUUCUCCACAGACAGGAAGACUGAGACAAAAAUAAGCUAUCAUUCCACAAUAAUAAGAAGAAGAUAUAAACAAUUCUCAACGGAAGCAUCAACCUCGUUGGUAAUCUAAUAAACAAAGGAAAACAAAGGACGAGAAGCUCUAAUUGUUUCAUGCGUAUAUGGAUUUUAGCUGAGUUCACCUGGAUCAUUUCCAUUCUCUCUCUCUCUCUCUCUCUCUCUCUCUCUACUGUAGUAGCAUCACUUCACUGCCAUCUUCCACUAAUUUUCCUCGCGCUCUCGGUCUCUCUUUAAUGGCCUUGGUGAACCUUUCCUCUUCUUUCUUUUUGUCCUUGCAGAUGUACAGAACUAUUAAGUCGACUGACAAGCCUGCAGCUUCCUCAGGUAAACUAUGUUGUUCACUACAUCUCUGUACUGAUCUGAUGGCUACAAGUAAUCUGUUCCAUCUUUUCUCAAGGCCAAUCUGAUGGCUCUGGUGAAGAAGAUUUGGUACCUGGUGACGGUCAUCUACCGAUAAUGGAUCACAAGGUCUCCGAUGCACCAAAGCAAGUCCAUCCUUUGGACUCUGACAUCGGAUGGAUCAACUCAUCCAGGUAAAGACGUACACAGACAAUCCUUCUCUCAGUGCGUACAGGUUUUUUCUUCAUCAGCAGAACAGAUUUCUUUGUUUCACUGAUGCUUUUAAGCUUAAUUAGGUUAGAAACAUCGGCUCCACCUCCAUUCAAAUUCUAUCAUGGCAGCUUUUACUUUUAUGUCUCCUUUUAUGCUCUGUGAUAUCUUGCAGGCAGAUUUAAAGCAAAAGACUCAUGAAAAACACCGAAUCCGCUAGCUAGUCGAAAAGUCGAUCAGAGCCCAUACUUUGUGAAUUAGGAUAUCAUGUUCUUUUUACAGUGAUGUUUAUGAUAAAAAGAAGAAUAAAAAAGCUGACAUCCUCUCACUAAGCGCUACUAAGUUGUUAAAGCAUGUCAUGUUUUUUUGGCUUCAUUCAUUUGCUUCUUAUGCAGCAUUUGAUUUGGGUUACGGAUGGAUUAAUUUGUUGAUUAGUGGUUUAACAAUAUUGGGUUAGAAAGUACCUUGUUCCUCCUGACCAUAUCAUGGGACUGACGCUGACACAAGGUCACAUAAGCUUCAACACACUGCAUGUUAGAGCCAACUCCUGUUCCAUUAUUCAUCAUCAUGGAUACCUAACAUAGGUUGUAUCUCGAUUACAUUAAUGCUCAAAAUCCUUGCUCUUAACUCUUUACACUACUUAUCAUACUUCAUCUGGUGCCUUCUAUACCCCUCAUUAAGACUGGCUAAAGAAGAAAGAGAGAAAGAAACACAGCAAAUAAGAUACAACAGUUCUAGGGUUUCGCUAUAUUGGAAUAAGACUACUACAACCUAAAAGGCAACUACAACAAACUUCUCUCCUCACGAUAGCAACCUUUUACAUAUUUUUAGAACUAUCUAAUAGAAAAGAAACACUUGCACUAGAAAAGAAAGACUCGUAGAUCUUUCUUUGAUACCUGGAUUGAAAGAUUUAGAGUCCAAAUGCAUGGCCAGUUUUCUGUUGAAACCGACCUUGUGAAUUCUGUAAAAUUGAGAUUUGUUCUUUGAUCUUGGGUUACUAAAUCUAUUGUAACUCUUUGUUGGAAACUUCGAUUCAUAUGAGACUUAUUCUAUCUGAAAGUAAGUUGAAAUAUCUUUCCAAUGAUACAUUUCUGAGUAAAUUGGAGCACGAUUGAUAGUUUGAAUCAUUUAUUCAAUGUGCCUCUUGAAUUCUACCAGAUAUCGAGCUUUGGUCGAUUUCGCAUAUUCUGGUUUCGUACCUUUGGAAAUUGAUAUCCUUUAGCUAUCUUAUUCAAUUGAGCUUUAUAUUACUGCUUUGAAUUCUUGUAUGCUCUCGUCCUUAAAAUUAUUUGCAUUCUUGAAAACUAUUGUGUAAUGUUUAUGCUAUAUCGUAUUGACUCAUAUAGGCACAUGUAUAUCUCAUUGUUCCGCAUUUGCUUUCGAUAUAUGCCUAUUCCAGUUUCAUUCCUUUGAACAUUGAAUUCAUCUAACCUUCUUAUUUGAAUUGAGUUAUAUGUGAUUGCUUGGAAUCCUUGAAUGCUCUUGCUUUCAUUUCCUUUUAAAUCUGAAUACAAUUGUGAAAGAUUAUUGCUUACUUCGCAUUGACUCGUAAAGGCACAUGUACGUUUUGUUGUUCCGCGUGUGCUUCCGAUAUGUGGUAGAUUUGCUGGCAUUCUUCUUCAUACGUAGUUGCAUAACAUGCCUUGCAACUUCAUGUAACAAUAUUGUAUCAUUUUCCUUGAUAUUCAUCUUAAAAAUCCUAAAAUCUCAUUCAAUGAAACUCAUUCGACCGACUUCUAUUAAAUUUCAGCAGACAAGAAUGGAUGCAAAUCAACUCAAAUGGCAUCAACUCUGCUGUGCUUCGAUCGACUUCUCUCUCAUCACAAAUUGAGGUACUUGUAACAUUUCAUUCUUAAUCGAUUCCAUUCAAAUGCAUGUCUCUAACUCUAUAUAUAUUGUACUUCUCAUUAAAAUUUGUAUCCGAUUCAUGUACAUCAAAUUUAGAAGAUGUGGGGAUGACAUUGUCGUAUUCUUACCUUGAACAGGAUGGUUAUUGUAGAUCAAGUAGCACAGAUGAUUCUUGUCAAGAACACCAAAUCCCUAGCUUGGAGUUCACCUUGGGGAGAUCAGAUUGGCAUUCAAAGUAGCAUGCAUGAGUUGCAUGCUUAAAGCCCCUGCAACAGCUGUUUAAAUUCUUUGAGACAUCUGAUUCAACAGGGAUGAGACAAAAGAGGUGCAUAUGAACAAUGAGAAGCUGAUCGAGCUACUUGCUUAUAUAUUGAGCAUUUGUUUUGGUUCUUUCUUUUCUACCUUGUUUGUACACGUUGUAAUAUUUUGUUAAUUCGUGUAGGUAUAUUAUUAUUCUUCUUCCUGUACCUAUAGAUGGAUUAUGCAACCAAGAUGGAAUUAGAUGUGAUGUAAGAAAUUAAAUAAAGUGUGAACAUUAUGGAGAAUGGCUAUGGUCCAUGUCUCUUAUUUUCUUACAUUUUUCUUUUCGAUUUCAUAGUUUUUCCCCCUACAAUAUUUCAGUACUUCCUCUUUAUAAUAUUUUCCUUUUGUUGUGAUAUUUUUAUUCGUAGGUUUCAGGAAACGACGUAGAUAAGAGAUGAAACUAUUGGAUAGCUCAUUUAAGUGUAGCAAAAUGUAGAACUCAAUUGUAUGUGUAUCCUAAACACUUUUGGGGCUUCUUUGUUAACCACGUCCCCUAUAUAAGUUGAUUAAUCAACAGCACAGUAUUUGAUACUAUGUGGUGGAGUUCAAGAAAAAAAAUUAAAUGAAUUUUUUAACACUAAUAGUGCGAGAAAUAGAAGAUAUUUCACCACUUUUUUUUUUUUUUUUUUAAAGCUUUUGUUAGAUUACCCUCCUAGAAUGUUAGAUCUCCUAAAAAAUCACUUUGGAUAAAUUUAAAUAAAAAACAAAUAAAAAAAUUUGAAAAGUAAUUAUCACUAGUAAAUUAUAUAACCUUUUGUAUUCAACUAAGAAUAUUAUAUAAAAAGUUAAUUGACAUAAUAAUAUUCAGGGAGUACCAUGAAGAAUUGGGAUAUUAAGAUUUGUUAAUAUUCAUUGUCAAAUGAUAUCGAAAGAAUUGUUUUUUACUCUCUCUCUCUCUCUCUCUCUCUCUCUUGUUACUAAUGAUGAGAGGCCCAUAAAGUCUUGGCACAAGACAUAAUAAAUAUAAUACAAAAGUGCCUUGACUAGAAAAAAAGAAAGAAAAAAAAAAAACAAAGGGAAGAAAGAAAGCAUACAAACAUAUAACUAAUGUAAUAUUUGUAGUCUCUAUAAAUUACAAAUAUAAAAACAUAAAGAUUCGAGCAGGAGGAUUCAUUAAGAAUGAUUCACUUUGGUAAGUACCAUACAAAUUUAGUCUUUUGGUGGAUCAAAAUGACAUUUUUCAUAUUAGAAAUGACUAGGUUUUAUAAUGUGAUGUUAAAUAUGCUUAUCAUCGUUUCUUAUUUCAUUAAAAAGUGAUCUCCGUCGCCUCUUCUCUAACCUGCUCCCAUUCUAAAUGACAAACACGCACCGCCCGCGCGUUCGGCCUCCUUGCUGAAUAGUUUAAGGAACACCACGUCGACGAGGCAGCUGACCAGGCACGUUAAACAGCUACCUACCCCGUCAUUCACACGGCGUUCUUACCUUACUUCUGGUGUGUCGUUUCUGUGGGUCCCCCACGUAACAGUUCCACGUCACGGGAUUAUCUGCUGGUGGCCGCCAAGUAUCCUAUUCUUACCCUUCGGGAGUUACGCGAACCAACUUCCGCGGCUUGGUCGGCUGAUGUGUUGUGUGGGACCCAGUAGAGCACCUGCUUCUGGCAACAACGUAUCCUUCUCUUACCCUUCGUGAGUUACCUAAACGGGAUUUGUCGUUUUCUGUGGGACCCAUUAUAUCAUCGAGGAGUCCGAAAACCGAAGUGCGCCACCCCCGUUUUACCUUGUCUGUGAUUCGUGCUCCACGCGGGACCCACUUGUACCAGCUCCACGUCUCGCGAUCACCCGGCGUUUUCAUCGCCAAAUAUGCUUUUCUUACCCUUCGCGGCUCCCCUCCACACGACUUUCCCAGCCCGUGGUUUGGUACCGUCCUUGGGUUGGUAAACCCCCAUCCCUCCACCAUCGCAUGAUAACUCUACGGGUCGACCGGUAACCUUUAUGAUUGGAUAACAUUCUCGUUGCCUACUACGGGUACGGGUCGGUCCUUCCCCCCUGCCUUCGUCCACCGCUCUCGUGUCUCCCGCCUGCACGCCACUUCCACCUCCUAUAAAACCUGGCCGACCCCGUCGACCAGCCCCACAUUCUCCACCGAAUCAGUACUUCCUUCCAUUGCCCUUGUCUCUCUUCUCUCGAUUUGUCAGAGCCAUGGCCGGCGUCGCGCUCGAGACCACGGCUCUGUCCCUCGUCCUCCUUGCCGUAGCGACGGUGAUGCCAGCCCUCCUCCCUUGCUCCGCGGAGCUGCCGCGGUUUGAGCGCCCGGCCAAGGCCGACGGGUCCCUCAGCCUCUUGGUUGUCGGAGACUGGGGAAGGAAAGGGCAAUUCAAUCAAUCGCAAGUCGCGGCUCAGGCAAACCUCGUCUUCUCAGCUUUUUUUUUUGUUCGUCUCCAAUAUCUUAAAAAAUGCCAUUCUCUUCAUAGUUCGAUCGCCCCUUUCACAAAACAAACCAAAAGAUCCCUUUUCGCCCCCUACCUUCCCUCAAAGAAUCUACUUUUCAGAGUAGUUUAUUUCUAUUUUGCCUUCCAAGUGAAGAAAGAUGAGAUGGAAAGGUCUCAUUAUGUCGAACAAGGUAAUGGCAAUUGGGGAGGAUCGAAAUUUUAGCUGGUGGAAGUCCAUUUUGUUGAUUGUUCAUGGAAUGUGCCCUUCUAGUUCAGUAAUGGAUCAUUUCAAGCUUAACUUGUUCGCAUGGUAAAAGAUGUUGCAGGUUAUAAUUCAUUUGUUUACAAGGCCAUUUUAUGUGUAUGUAUAUGUACGUAGAUGGGAAAGAUCGGAGAGGAGAUGGAUAUAGAUUUGGUCAUAUCCACCGGAGAUAAUUUCUAUGAUAAUGGCCUCAAAGAUGUCCGAGAUAAGGCAUUUGAGGAGUCAUUCACCAACGUAUACACUGCAAAGAGCCUGCAAAAGCAAUGGUACAGCGGUAAGCCAAUCAGAUGGAUAACAAUGUGUUCAUUCUGCUUUACCUAUUUGAUCAAUCUUUUCUGGUGUGUGUUUCUAGUUUUGGGCAAUCAUGACUACAGUGGUGAUGUGUUAGCAGAGUUGAGCCCUCUUCUCCAAAAGAUCGAUAGCCGAUGGCUUUGCUUGAGAUCCUUCAUCCUUAAUGCAGGUGAAAUUUGUUCGGCCUCACGACUAUUUGAUCCUAGUAUCUUUCUCAUGGUUGUUUCUGUGUGGCCAGAAAUUGUGGACUUCUUCUUUGUGGACACCACUCCCUUUGUGGAAUCUUAUUGGACCAACCCAGAGAAUGAUCACUAUGACUGGAGAGAUGUGGCACCUCGUGAAACAUACAUCUCAGAUCUCUUAAAGGUGUAUUUGCAUGCAUCUUCAAGCAUCCUAUUUAGUCAAAUAUAUGAGGAAGUUUAAUGGCGAAGAACACAAGACUAAACAAUCUUAUUGUCAUUAGGAUUUGGAUGCUGCACUGGAAGCAUCUACGGCACCAUGGAAGAUUGUUGUUGGACACCAUACGAUGAGAAGUGCCAGUCAUCAUGGAGACACAGCUGAGCUUCUCAGUUUGCUUCUGCCGAUUCUUAAGGUAAUCCAAUUCCUAGACCUUGUGCAAAGGACAACUUCUUGGUUAUCCAGAUCUUGAUCCUGAUAAAGCCACAGGCAAAUGGUGUUGAUCUAUACAUCAAUGGACAUGAUCAUUGCCUGCAGCACAUCAGCAGCAAUGACAGGUGAAGUAUCUGCUGGAUUUUCGAUACGGAUUGUUUUUGGAGAUUCCAUCAAUCUGAAAAUAAUUCUUCAUUGGCAGUAAAAUCCAGUAUCUGACAAGCGGCGGCGGUUCGAUGGCAUGGAGAGGAGUCUUCACUCCAACCUCCGACAAGCUUCGAUUCUUCUACGAUGGUCAAGGUUUCAUGUCGCUGCAGCUAACAAGGACAGCUGCUGACAUUGUGUUCUACGAUGUGUUUGGCCAUGUUCUUCAUGAAUGGAGUGCGAGCAAACACCUCCACCCUGCAGUGUAGGACAUGACAAGAUUUGCGUGGGUCACUCGUGGAUAUGUUGCCAUUGAAGAAGUUAGGAUUGGGAUGCCUCUGCCCUUGGAAUUGGGUACCUUAAGCGUCUGCUAGUUAAGAUGAUACUGUGGCACUGUACAAGAGAGAAUUCAAGGAUCAUUCAUACAGUUAUACUGAAAGUUACAUGAUAAUGAAAAUUAUAUUGCCUAUGAUUGAUCUUCUGUGACUGUUUCCACUACAUUUGCCUUCAAUUUUGGUGUCCAAUCUUUCCUUUCCUUUUCCUGAACAGAAGAUGCUAGUUAUGCUUCUUGACUCUGAGGCACAAUGUGAGUCUUACAUAGGGACAAUAAGAGAAGAGAUUUCACUUGUAAGGUUGGUUUUUUCUCAGUCUCUUGCACAUCUAAGAGACCAUGAAGAUGAAGACAAAAAUGAGUCGAUAGCACAUUGGAUUUAAAGUCAAGCAGAGCAGCCAAAUAAAAGGGCACAUACAUGAAAGAAAGCUUAUGCAAGUAUAUGACAGCCGAUGUAGGCUGAUGAAAUUGUGAAAGAAAAUGCCCUGAGAUGAUACUUGUAUUCGUCUCAAUUGAAAAGACUAGCUAAGUUUGUAAUGCCAAAGAUAGAUUUGCUUGCAGUUGUAUUUGGUACCAAUCAACCAGAUGGAUCAGUAAUCCAAACAUGCAAGCCGAAUCCUAUCUCCAUCAGUGACUUCCUAUAAUGUGUUACGAUCGGAGCGGCACUAAGAGAGAGAGGGUCUUCAUCAGUGACUUCCUAUAAUGUGUUACGAUCGGAGCGGCACUAAGAGAGAGGGGAUGAAUUAGUGCAGUGGAUUAAAACUCGUAAGUUUGAAAACGAUUUCGUAAAUGCGUAGAGAUUUUGAUUCGACAAUGAAUGACUCGGUGAAAGUAGCUCGAGUAAAGUGAGAAGAUAAAAACCGAAAGCUUGCUGUUAUAUAAAUAACGGUUUAAGGAAGGUAAACACUCACACAUUCAAGGAACACACCAAUUUAAAGUGGUUCGGCCAAAAUAACCUACAUCCACUUACGAAGCCUUCUUUGAUGAGGCUCCCAACUUUCACUAGCAAAUCACUUUGAAGGGGAAGGACAAAUACUUCUCUUACAAUCUUUUACAAGUGGUUCACACUCUUACAGAUUUUCAAAGAGAAAGAGGGAGGUGAACACUUAAGCUAUUGACAACAAGACUUGCUAAAGACUUUGCUAAGGCUUUAUCUCAAUCUCUAACUUCUCAAAGGUUGUAUUCUCUGCUGAGAAUUGAGGGGUAUUUAUAAACCCUAAGAGGAUUCAAAUUUGGGUUCCAAAUUUUGAAUUCUCUUGGGUUCCCGAUGCUGGCGGUGCCACUGCUUGUUAGUGGCGGUGCCACCGCCUGUUAGUUUCUGACAGAUAGUGUAUUGGUGGUGCCACCGCCUAGUCUAGCGGUGCCACCGCUGGACCUCUUGGAUCCUGGGCGGUGCCAUCGGCCAGCCUAACGGUACCACCGCCCGACCCUAUGGGUCACUAGAUGGGCUUCAAAUCUGGCCCAAACUAGGUAAUAUCGGGCUCAGUUGGCCCCUAACCAGGAUAUAGGAUUAUCCCUUAAUCCUAACCAUAAUUAUAUGCAAACUACGUGACUGAAAAUAUAAUCCUAAGCAAGUUUUUAACCGGCAAACGUCGAGUCUCCUUUCGGCGAUCUUCCGACGGACUUCCGAUACACCCUUAGAUUUCUUCCGGUGGACUCCCAACGGGCUCCCGAUCUUGUGGCGAGUUCAGCGAGUAGCCAAGCCUUCUCGGUGAUCUCUGCGAACCUCCAACGAUCUCUUCGGCGGACUUCCGAAAACUCCAAUAAGUCCCCGAUUUCUUCUCGGUUGGUUUCGGCAGCAUCUCUGACGAAUCUUCGGACUCUCGAACACCCAUCGAACUUGACUCCAGUAGACUUGCUUUAUGUCUUCAAGCUAUCGUAGUUAAUCCUGCACAUGUAAAAUAAAAGUUCGAUCUAGAUAAUUACUCCUAAGCAAUUAAUUAAGUUGUCCGGCAUGUCAUUGGUCCCUCGACGCUUUGUCCGAUUAUUCGGCGCAUCAUCCUCUCUUGCGGCCUAUUGCCCAAUUGGCUAGUUGACUCUGCAACUCCGAUAUCCUUGGCACAAUACCCACUCUUCUUGGCCUGAUGCUCGAAUCCACGGCCCGAAGCCUUCUAUCGAUACGUCGACCGAUCCACCGGCCCGACGUCCAAUCUUCUGACAUGUUCCUCUGGCACAACAUGAUUUUCCUGCUUUAAUUGUCUCAUCCUGAUCGAAGCAUCCUACGUCACUCAAAACGCAGAUUAAAUCAUAAACACAUAGCAAGUGGUUUCAUCAUCAAAAUACGAGAUUCAACAAUCUCUCCUUUUUUAAUGAUGACAACCACUUGAUGACGGAGUUAACCUUAAUUCCCGAAGUUUAAACAAACUCCCCCUAUCAAUAUGCCAUAUUGAUAGAAUCUUGAAUUCAAGCCGAAUUCAAGUUAUUGUAAAUAUUCAUCAUGAAUAUUUACAAUACGUCAUCAUGCAUAACAUGAUCAUACUUCUCCCCCUUUGUCAUGAAUAAAAAAGAGAAGUGUCACUUUCUAUGUGUUUGAGAUAUAAAGUUCAAUACAUUGCAUGAAAAAAUAUAGUGUUAAAUUUUAUCAUCAUGCAAUCGAGCAAUUAAAGAUGUGCAAGUUUAGCAUGUUUGCUUUUCUUGAGAUAGCAACUGUUUACUUCUCUUUAGACUACCAGCUAGCAAUUUUUAUGAUAUGUAAGUUUUGCUACAUGCAAGCUAGCAAAAAAAAAAAAAUCAAAAGCAAAUGCAAGAUAGCUUUCUUGUGUAAGCUCAUGAUUAUUGCUUCCUAUUGCAAUGUGCAAGUUGUAAGUUUUUGAAAUAUCCAAGUUCAACACAUUGUAUAAUUAAUAUAAUCUCUUAGUUUUAUCAUCAUGCAAUUGUGCUAUUAUCAUCGAUAUGCAAGGUAGUAUGAUAGCAAUUACUACAACAUACAAGCUAGCAAAUUUUACAACACUUUUAGAACAUGCAAGCUAGCAGUUUUGAGAUGUUCAAGAAAGCAUCCCUUGCUUCUUGAAAUACACAAGUUUGCUAGAUGUGCAAGUUAGCAUGUUUUGAUUCUUGAGAUAGGUAAGAUUGCACAUUUGGUAUGCAAAUUUAUAGUAUGCAAGUUAUCAACUUUUACACAUAAAAAGUUAGCAAAAAGAUGUGCAAGAUGAAUUAUUUUGCCUCUUUUCAAAAUAUGUAACUCGGCACAUAUUGCUUCUUUGAGAUUUGCAAGAUAACACUUUUGCUUGAAACUACAAGAUAGUAUUUCUUGCUUUUGAGUUGAGCAAACUAAUAAGUUUUGUUCCUUUUUGCGAUAUGUACAUUUGUAAUUUUUGCUUCUCUUGUCUUGUGCAAGCUAGCUAUCUCCUCCUUUGUCAUUGUCAAAAAGAAGGAAAGACCCUUUACAUCAAUUUCUAAAUCAUGAUAAAGGUAAGUAUCAAUCUUAUUUGUUCAUCAUUAUAUUUUCAAAUUAAAAUAUGCACAACUUCAAAACUUUACAUUUGUAUCCUUACUUCAUGCAUUAUACAAAUAAAUUAAUCACUAUGGGUAUAUCAUAUAUGAUACAUCAUUUUGGUAAUAAAUCAUAGCAUUUAUCAAUAUUUUAAUCAUGAUACAAAGCAUUCAUCAUUUAGAGCAUUCAUGAUGCACAUUAUAUGCAUAUAUCAUCAUAAUAAAAAGUAAUUGCAUGCAUAAUUUUAAAUCAUAAAUAUUUUAAAUCAUGAUGAUAUUAAUUUAUCAAAUUGCAUCCUACCAUGCAUGAUCAAAACUUCUCCCCAUUUGUAUUUCAUGCAUAAUUUCAUUUCAUCACAUUAGGAGUAUCAAGAGAAAUUAAUUGGGUGAUGAGAUAAAUAUUUCAUGAAUACAUGGAAUUGUAUAAAAAAUCAUAUCAUAAGUGUUUCAUGCAUUCAUAUAUCACAUGAAGGAAUAUAAACAAAAAUUGGUGAUGAAACAUUACUUCAUGAAUGCAAUAAAAUUCAUAUAGCAUAUCAUGGUUUAUUAGAACUAGUCUUCUUUUUGGUGAAUAGAAAAAAUAGUAGGAGAGCAAGAUCUCAAUUCAUGCAUAUCAAAUAUUCAAUCAUCAAAAUCAUGAUUCAUCUAGAAAAUGCUCAUCUUUAAAUAUUCAAAGAGAGAUCUUAGGAGAUCAAAUAAUAAGAUAUUUUCAAAUAAAAUUUUAAGUUAAGAAUUAAGAAAAAAAGAUAUUCUCUUUAGUAAAUCACAAAAGAAAACGUAGGAGAAAAAAAUUUCAAUUUAUAUAUAAGAAGUCUUAUGAUUCAUAUUGAAAAUUUUCUCAAAAUGUAAGAGAAUAAAGAGUAAGAAAUCUUGAUUCAUAAAGGAUUUCAUGUUAUAAAUUUCAAGAGAUCAUAUCAUAAUUUCGAUAAAAAAUUAUUCAAAUUUAAAUAAUCAAAAUCAUUAUCAAAAUCCAAGAUAUUCACAAAGAUGAUACAAAUGGAUUCAUCAAAAUCAAUAAGAUAGAGCAAAAUAUUUUUCAAGAAGAAUGUUUUCCUCUUUUUGGUUGUUUCAAAACAUAUGAUUUUGUUUCAUUUAUGCCAAAUAAAAACAUGUAUCAUGUUUAAAACCGAAAGUGUAAGAUUUAUUAUAACAAAGAUCAAUAAGACACUUUCAUUAUGGUAAAAAUCAAUAAUCCGUAAAUCGCAAGAUUCAUCAUGCAUAAUUUCAAAAUUUAUUAAGCAUGAUCAUUAUGCAUGAUACUAAAACAUGGUUUCAAAAUGUUUAAUAUUUUCAUUACACAAUUUAAUCAUUAUGCAUUAUCAUAUUUUCAAAUUCGAACAUGCACAAUUUCAAAACUAUAUCUUUCAUUUUUCGAUACAAAUAACUCAAUCAUCAUUAUGAGCAUAUUAUAUAUGAUAUUCAAGCAUUCAUGAUACGUCAUUUUGGCAACAUAAUCAUAGCUUUUCAAAUGAUGGUAUCUAAAUGUCAAAGUUCAUUACAUCCUAUCAUGCAUGAUCAUUAACUUCUCAUUUGUAUUUCAUAUAUUAUUCAAAAUAUCAAGAGAAUUUUGGUGAUGAAAUAUACAUUUCAUGAAUGCAAGAAAUUUUACAUAAUAAAAUUCAAGUCAUAAAUUAGCAAGAUGUCGAGUAACAUAGGUUAAUUUGAAUAAUCAUUUUUAGUGAAUACCAAGAAGAAUCACAUCAUGAAAGAAUUUUGAUUCAUGGAAAAAUUUCAUGUAUCGAGAAAUCAAGAUGAUAAUUUAUAAAAAAAUUUUACAAGUUAUAUUGAAGAGAAAAAUAAUCAUUCAUUUUCAACUCAUUCAAUUUGUCAAAUCAAUUUCAUGAUUUUGAUAUAACUCAUUUCAAAUUCAAAUCAUCAAAUCAAAAUCAUUUUCAAGAGAUUCAUAUAAAUCAAUAAGAUAGAGAAAAAUAAUUUUCAAGAACAAUGCUUUUCUCUUUCUAGUUAUUUAAAUUCAUGUCAUUUAUUUCAUUUAUGCUAGAUAAAUAUGUGCAUCAAUAUUUAGGAUCGAAAAAUGAAUUUUAUCAUAAAAACCAUCAAUAUCAAUAAACCACAAAAAUUAUUAUGUAUAACUUUACAAUCUCAUGCAUAAAAUCAUCAAAUCAUAGUAUCAAAAUUUCAAUAUUUUCAUUCCAUCAUUUUGUAUUGGUUUCAUUGAACAUAAUUUUGAAUGAUUCUUACAUAUACUAAAACUUCUUUAGUUUUAAUUUAUGUGAUUGACUUUAUAUUAGCAUUCUCAAAUUUUGUUCUUAAGUCAAAACCAUACAUCAUGUUUGACAACCAAAGACAAAGUUCAAAAAAAAGAUCAUCAAGUCUUCUAUUCAAAAGCCAUGCAUCAUUAUUAAGCAUGAUAUUAAACUUCUCAAUAUUUUCAUUAAGACAUCAAGCAUGGUUUCAAUUAAAAUCGUAAAUCAUCAAAAUACACAUUCUUACUUCUCAAACACAUACAUAAUAUUUAUAUUUAAAAUUUUAUUAUAUUUUUAUUUUUAAAUAUUAAAUUAUUAAACAUAUAAUUUUUAAGAAAAUUAAUCCUAAACUAAAUUAAAAAUAACUCAUUAAAGUAUUAUGUAAUUUCAAAAUAAAUUAGGGGGAUUUCGAUUACCUCUUCGUUGAAAGCGGUUAAGGCGUAGUUUGCCACCUCGCCUUUCUAGAUUUUCUCCUCAUCUUCGGAGGAGCUCGAUUCAUCCCAAUUUGUGUUCUUCUUCUUGUGUUCAAAGCAAGUAGUUCCGUUCUUUUUGCUUUUUAAUUUUUGUUUCAUUUGUAGUUUAAGUUCACCAUCACUUGAGCUUAUGCUCGAGUGGUCUUCAUGUGUUCUAUGUCCCAAAUCCUUCAUGUCCUUUGGAAGGUUGUUCUCGAGUUCUCUUUUUGUCAUAUUAUUCAUUUCAUAAGUCAUUAAAGACCCAAUUAGUUCUUCGAGAGGAAAUGUCUUAAGGUCCUUGGCCUCUUGAAUGAUCGUAACUUUUGGAUCCCAACUUUUUGGAAGGGAUCUUAAGAUUUUAGUUACUAGUUCAAAGUUAGAAAAACUUUUACUAAGAGUUUUGAGUCCAUUGAUGACAUCCGUGAAAUGGGUGUACAUGUCUUCGAUGGACUCACUAUUCGGAAAAGUUCGUAAGAGUGCACAAGAAUGUUAAUUUUGGACUCUUUCACUCGGCUAGUGCCUUCAUGAGUGACCUUAAGAGUUCUCCAAAUAUCAAAAGCCGAAUCACAAAUCGAAACGCGAUUAAAUUCAUUUUUGUUAAGUGCACAAUAUAAGGUAUUCAUAGCCUUUGCGUUUAAAGAAGAAACUUUCUUCUCCAAUUCAUCGCAUUCACUCAUUGGAAGAGAAGAUUUUUGAAAUCCAUUUUUGACAAUAUUCCAAAGCUCGAGAUUCAAUGAAAGUAAGAAAACUCUCAUUCGAGUUUUCCAAUAAGUGUAGUCCAUCCCAUUGAAAAAGGAAGGACGAAUGAGAGAGUGACCCUCUUGAAAGCCAUAAAGAAUCAUUUCUAUUUGGGUGUUAAACCAAAGUAGAAAAUCGUGGCUCUAAUACAAAUUGUUAGGAUUGGAGCGGCACUAAGAGGGGGGGGUGUGAAUUAGUGCAGCGGAUUAAAACUCGUAAGUUUGAAAACGAUUUUAUAAAUACGUAGAGAUUUCGAUUCGACAAUGAAUGACUUGGUGAAAGUAGCUCGAAUAAAGUGAGAAGAUAAAAACCGAAAGCUUGCUGCUAUAGUAAUAAUGGUUUAAGAAAGGUAAACACUCACACAUUCAAGGAACACACCAAUAUGAAAACAAGACUUGCUAAAGACUUUACUAAGGCUUUAUCUUAAUCUCUAACUUCUUAAAGGUUGUAUUCUCUGUUGAGAAUUGAGGGGUAUUUAUAGACCAUAAGAGGAUUUAAAUUUGGGCUCCAAAUUUUGAAUUCUCUUGAGUUCCCGAUGCUGGCGGUGCCACCGCCUGUUAGUUUCUAAUAGACAGUGUACUGGCGGUGCCACCGCCCAGUCCGACGGUGCCACCGCCCAGUCCGACGGUGCCACCGCUAGACCUCUCGGAUCCUGGGCGGUGCCACCGCCCAGCCCGACGGUACCACCACCCAAUCCUCAGGUUCUGGGCGGUGCCACCGCUCGGUCCGGCGGUUCCACCGCCCGACCCUAUGGGUCACUAGAUAGGCUUCAAAUUUGGCCCAAAUUAGGUAAUAUUGGGCCCAGUUGGCCCCUAACCAGGAUAUAGUCCUAAGUAAGUUUUCAACCGGUAAACGUCGAGUCUCCUUCCGGUGAGCUUUCUGGCAAUCUUCCGGCGGACUUCCGAUACACCCUCGGAUUUCUUCCGGCGGGCGCCUAUCAGGCUCUUGAUCUUGUGGCGAGUUCAGUGAGUAGCCGAGCCUUUUCAGUGAUCUCCGCGAACCUCUGAUGAUCUCUUCGGCGGACUUCCGAAGACUCUGACAAAUCCCCGAUUUCUUCUUGGUUGGUUCCGGCAACAUCUCCGACGAAUCUUCAGACUCUCGAACACCCAUCGAACUUGACUCCGAUAGACUUGCUUUAUGUCUUCAAGCUAUCGUAGUUAAUCCUACAUAUGUAAAACACAAGUUCGAUCUAGACAAUUACUCCUAAGCAAUUAAUCAAGUUGUCCGGUAUGUCAUUGGUCCCUCGACGCUUCGUCUGAUUUUUCGAUGCAUUGUCCUUUCUUGCGGACUAUUGCCCAAUCGGCCAGUUGACUCCGCAACUUCGAUAUCCUUGGCGCAAUACCCGCUCUUCUUGGUCUGAUGCCUGAAUCCAUGGCCCGAAGCCUUCUGUCGAUACGUCGACCAAUCCACCGGCCUAAUGUCUAUUCUUCUGACAUGUUCCUCCGGCACAACAUGAUUUUUCUACUUUAAUUAUCUUAUCCUAAUCAAAAUAUCCUACGUCACUCAAAAUACAGAUUAAAUCAUAAACACAUAGUAAGUAAUUUUAUCACGUAAUGAACCUUCAAUACUUAAUGCAACCAAUCCUGUCUCUAUCACAUACUACUUUUAAGUAAUUAUAACGGCUUUAGAGGGUCAUAAAGUAUUCAUCAUUCCUCCACACUAGAAUAGUGCCUUAGGUACCACAGACAAAUGAUGGAAUGGAAAGGUGAAGCUUGUUUGUUACAUAUGUUGGAAUGGAAAACAAGGAACUGUUUGAAAAUAAAAAAAAUUGCAUUAGGAGAUCAUCAGGAUUUACAUAUAAUACAAUUUAUAAUUUACUCGGUAAAGAAUAUUAUUCUAUCCUUCGAGGCUAAUAGAAGUUUCCGGAACGAGGCACGAAGUAUUGGGCUGGAUUUGGGCUGUUAGGGCGUUCGAAUGGGAACCAACUCGGUGAUGCAAGCGAGCAUCGAGCUGCGUCGCGACGCCUUCACACCAAGAGCGGCCGCACUCUUUUGUCCUUCUCUCGCACGUCACCUUAUCUCGGCCUUCUUGCUUUCCGCCCAAACCCAGAGCGAAAGAAAUCACCUCCGCUUCGGAUCGCCUCCCCGUCCCCUCCCCUGCUUCGGGGUUUCGGGUCGGUUGGUACCUGAUCUCCAGUGGUAAGCCCUUACCUUCCUCUCUUCUCUUCUACAGGCAAUUUCAUCCCCAAAUAUCUGAUUGUUUGUAAUUACUUCCAAUUUCUUGAGGGUUUGUUGUUAGUGCUAGUGCUAUGGCCUGUUUUGUGGAUGUCCUGGAAUUAGUGUUUUCCUUCUUCUAUUUGACUCUUAGUCUUUUUCUUCAUCGAAGCCGUAACCCCUUUUUACCAAUGUCGUCAUUGAGUAGGCUGAGACGAUAUGACGGCGCAAGUGACUCGUGAAUGGACUGGAAUCCAGCAGUUUCCUGCUGCUACGCAGAACAAAUUGCAUGAAUUGUUAGGGAAAUUGAAGCAAGAGGUCUGCUUUAUUUUCUUUUGUUUGGAUACUUAGGAGUCCAUUUCAAUUAAUUUUGGUAUAAUACUUCUUUCUUUAGAAUGUGAGCACAUUGACAAUUCUGGUGAUGGGAAAGGGUGGAGUCGGGAAGUCAUCCACAGUCAACUCCAUUUUAGGGGAGAGGGUGGCUUCUGUCAGUGCUUUUCAGGUUUUCUACCCCAGAUUAGUGAAUUAUGGGCAUUAAAUUUUCUGGCCAAAAAAAAGUAUAUUUGUGAUGUGUUGUUAGUUGAUCAUUGCUUGUUGCAGUCGGAGGGGUUGAGACCCAUAAUGUGCUCCCGGACUCGAGCAGGAUUCACAUUGAACAUCAUAGACACUCCAGGGCUUGUGGAAGGUGGAUAUGUCAAUGAGCAGGCUAUUGAAAUUAUAAAAAGGUAUUUACGUCUAUUAAAAUUAUUUACUUGAAGAUCUAGUUGGUGUUUUAAUUAUGGUUUGUGUUUUGAACUGUUUAUUGAAAGUCACACUUUAAUGUUGAUUUGAGAAGAAGAGAUCUCAUGAAAUUAUUGGAAUGCUCCUAAGCUGCGAUGACAUUUUACAUUGCAUAGGUGCCAAAGGCAGAUGAAGUUGAAGGUCAUGAAAUAGUGUUCAAUUGAUAUGGCAUAAGAAUCAUAGCAUGUGACAUGCUUAUGUCUUAAAUAGUGAUUUAAAAAGAUGCUCGGGCGCUUGCCUAGGCACUCAAGGGAGGUGAGGCUCGACCACCUCGCGCAGAAGCCAGGCGACGUGCUUCAUUGAAGCAUCGCUUAGGCUGUCACCUGAACCCAGGCGUCGGGCACCUCGGGUGAGCGCCCGGUUGAAGGUGAGCAAUCGAACUAGAUGAUCAAAUCUGGUUCGAUUAAACAAUACCUAGUUGGUUUGAUUGAACCAAUUAAACAUUACAGUAAACCCUUUUGCACGAAACCCCCAAACUCUACUUUGUCACCCCAACUCACCUUUGGUUCGUCGCCGAUGCCUGUGCUCAAUCCACUAUCGCUGCUGUCGUCGUCCGAAGGUUCCUCCAUCAUCGUCGGCCUCUUCUGGUCCUACAUUUUACCGUUGAUGACUACUUCCUUACUACUGUUAUGACUACAUCUCAAGUGUUAGAGAAUUACAGACAUACAAGACAAAUGAUGAAGGCAAAAAUGAGUGCAAAAGUCUCAAGUUCAUCUCCUGCUAUUGUUGAAGAGGAGGAAACUUAUUUUGAUGAAAAUAGACGAGAGGAAGAGAAAUAUGAUAAUAAGUUUGAGAAUGACGAUGUUGAUUAUGAUGAUGAUUGAAUUUGAUGUAAAGUUUUAUUGUUUUAAGCCUUUUAACAUUUUUGUUAUUAGAAGAUGGAUAAUGUGACUUGGUACUUUAGAUCUUUUCAAUUUAAUAUCAUAUUUUUAUUUAUAUAAUUAUAUUUAUCAAUUAUAUAAUAUAUAUUUAUAUUUUAAUAUUUUAGAUUGUUUUGCUUCACUCGAGCGAGCGCCUAGCGUCUUGAGCGUUUUGGGAUCUUAGCGCUUUUUAGUGCCUAACGCUUUUAAAAACACUGGUCUUAAAGAAGUCUGCUGUCAGCAUUGGUGCUUGUAAUUGCGAAAAUGUCUUACCAAAGUAUAGAUAAUAAAGUAAAUAUUUGGGUUCCAUAAUUUAGUUGUGCAUCUACCAACAUGUUAGAUUUUUCCACUAGCUAUUUGUUAAUAUUGGCAAACAAUGACAUGUAGAUUCUAAUACCUUGAAGGACCUGUUAGCAGUACAAGUAUUAUUUAAAUGCAUAUAUAUAGUUCCAUUGUCUAGAAUCCUGAUUGCCCAACAACAGAUGAUGAAGUUAGCUACUUAGGUUCCAUAAUUUAGUUGAUCUUGUUAAAAGAUUUGAUAAGAUUGUUAGAAGGUUCUUCCUGCUAGGUUAUUGGCUUUUUGCAUGUUCAUUUUGCUUAUUAGCAUGUUUUGUUGUGGUUGUUAGCAUGUUUAGUCACUGGCUAGGUAUUACCAUCUCUAACAAAAAAUUCAUUUAUCCUAUGAUAAGACUAUAGAUGUUCUUCUAUAUGUGGACCCAUUGGAUGCGGAUAUGUUGAAUGUUCUGGAAAGGCAGGUCAUCAAAGUCUUCACUGGCACAUUUAGCAAAAGAAUAUGGCACAAAUCUUUGGUUGUUUUAACUCAUCACCAAUAGGACCACCAAAAUCAUGAUUAAAUGUGGACUUGAAAAAAGAGAAGAAGUCUCAGGAAGUGAUUAAAAUUCUUGUAAGUUGUGAUGACAUUUUAGAAUGUCUAGGUGACAAAGGCAGAUGGAAAUCAAGGGUCAUGAAACAGUGCUGAAAUAAUAUGGCAUUAGAACCAUAGCAUGUGACAUGCUAAUAUCUUGGAGAUGCCUGUUAUCAACAUAAGUAUUAAUCAAAUACAUAUGCAUCAUUAUAUUGUAAUUUUUCGUAAGUGCUGACGAAUAUAUCAUUUAAUUGUGUUUAUGUUUAAUAUUUUGAUAGCACAUAUUGUUAAAUUGUCUUAUAUUAUUGCUAGCUAUUUGUUAAUUUGUCAACGGAACCAUAACAUGUGGCUUUCUAAUAUCUUGAAAAAUCUGUUAACAGUAUAAAUAUAUUUUAAAUGCAUAUAUGUAUAUGUAUAGUUGCCACAGAGAAAAUGAUGUUAUUUGUGGCUAAUGAUUUAGUUGUUUAUUUUGUCAAAAAUAUUGAUAUGAUCAUUGGAAGGCCCUUCCUGCAUGGUUGUUGGCUUUUUGCAUGUCCAUUUUGGUUGUUAGCAUGUUUAAUCUCACUGGCUGGAUACUAUCAUCUCUAACAAAAAUUCCAGGUUUCUUCUGAACAAGACUAUAGAUGUUCUUCUAUAUGUGGACCGCUUGGAUGCAUAUAGGAUGGAUAGUUUGGAUAGGCAGGUCAUCAAAGCCAUCACCGACACAUUCAGCAAAAGAAUAUGGCAGAGAUCUUUGGUUGUUUUGACUCAUGCUCAGUUAUCUCCACCAGAUGGAUUGAACUAUGAUGAUUUCUUUGCCAAACGGUCAGAAGCACUUAUGAGAUAUGUUCGCUUGGGUGCUCGAAUCAGGAAACAGGAUUUUGAGGUAUGAAGUUCAUUCUCUUAUGUAUGAGAUUGUUGUUUUUCUUUUAUGUAUUUCCUGUUUACCCUUUCCUCCAUACUUUCUGUUGUAUGCUACCUUGAUAGUUAGUUUUACAAAAUUUUGCCUUCCUGAGGAAUAUUAGUGGAAAUGAGGCUUGUACAUGAUUUAUGGAUUUAUUCCUUCUUUGCAUUGUAAAGAUAACAGGCACGGUAAAGAUCACAGGCAUGGUAAACUAGGUGCAAUUUCUUUACUUUUUAAUUGUGCUUGACUUGAAAGUAUUUUACAGCUUUUUAGUCUCAUUUGAGAAAACUUUUGAUGUAUUGGUCAUCUUAUGUGGAUCCUUGGGCUAAGUGUACAGAAAUCAAUCAUUUGUUAUCUUAAAUUUAUAUUUUUCUGGAGAAAGAGGCUUAUGCAUUUAACAUUUGUUAACCAUUACAUUUAUAAUUAUUAUAUUCUUUAGCUUAUAAUCUAGCAAAUGUGAUAUAUUUGGUUAUUUAGUUAUUGUAGAUUGUUUUUUAUGUUUUCCAAUGUGAGCAGCCGUGUUGUCACGAACUUAGCUGGUUUUGCCUAAGUCGUGCGGCACCCUGGCGUGUCCGUCCGCAAAGGUCAGCCUCCUCGAAGCCUCCCAUAUCCCUUAGGACCCACAAAAGAGAGAACAUGUUAGAGAAAACGCCUCAUUCGGGAUCCACAAGCAAACAUUUCCGAAAACACUUCAUAGACAAUGCAAAUUACAAACAGACUUUACAAGCUCUGAACAGUUGCAUAACAAAGGGUAAAAUGGUUCAUUAUAGAUUGAAAAUCUCUCGUACGUGUCCACAUUGCACAACCUUUAUUUUACAAGCCUAAAGCGGCCACCAACCUAACUAAAAUGAGACUAUUAAGCCUUCGGCCGUCCCUCUACAUGUUGUGUAGAGCAUGAACAUACCAAAAGACACGGACAUACAUAAGCAUUACAUCAAACAUCAUGUUUAGAAGUUUGUCCGUGACAUUCUCCCCCACUUAUUCCUUCGACGUCCUCGUCGAAGCCUUUAUCGACACUGCAACUCCUCGCCUUUGCUGAGUCUUUAAUCUUCUGCUCCAGCUGCAAUGCGUCUCUUGGCUCCCAACUGCUCUCCGCUGCUGUUUUUGAGUAGUCGAACCUUUGAUCCGCCAUUCUGCUUUAACUCGCCAAUGACUCUGACUCUAGUGUGGGGUUGGCUGAGUUGUGUUGAUCCCUGUUGGUUCCUGCGGAUCCUCCAGAUGAAGGAAAAGACCAUCCUUACUACGCCAGUCUCUCAAAUGCCUCAUGUUGCUUGAACUGGGUGGAUGCUUGUUGGAGCUUUAACGAGCAUCGUCUCGUAAACUUAUGAAGUUUUGGGUCUUUCCUUCACAAAAUUUGCUCAUUGACUCUUCUUUCACUUAGUUGUCACAUCCAAGUAGGUUCGCAUCACUUCUGCUUUCGAUUGGCAUUUCGUUGGGAAAUGAAGCGGACAAUCUACUCUCAGUAACACUGAUCACCGUUGGUGAGGAUUUGACAACUAUUUUCUUCCAUUAUCUUCGAAGGGUCUUUGAACAUAUGCAGAGCUCCUCUGCUGGAUAGAUAAGAGAAUUGGGGUACUCGGUUUCACCCAUUCUCUUAAGAGUUGAGAAGGCAAAGGUUACUUGAUUUCGCCCGCCUCCUCGAGGUUGUACUCCAUGUAUCGAGCUGGUUACUGGCCUUCGCCUGCUCUUUGCUCACACUUCUGAAGCACUUGAAGUGUUUGCACUCCUUGCGUUGAGUUAGCUACUAUGAUUCACCUUCUCAAUGCCAUUGAACUUUUGGAAUGCAGGAAGUUUUUAUCCCAACUUGAAGUAAUUCUCUAAUAGAUUUGGUCGCCUCUGGGAUUGUACCGCCUUCUCUAUCAACCCUGCCGCCUACUCCCCUAAGUAGCAAAGGUACAGCACCGCGUACUACCUGCUUCGUUCCUUGGUCGUGCACUCUUGCAUGACCCGAAGUCCUUCACUUUCGGCUAUCUUGAUAAGAAGCUCGUUGACACCGGUCUUACGAAGUUCCUUGGCCUCUGCCCUUCAGCCUUGUCUCGGUACUUGGAGUUUGCCUCUACAUGCUCCACCUCCUCGGCCCCUUUCACGACCAAGCACUCUCCCUCCAUGAGAGCAAGGGAUCAAUGACUUUCACGGAAGUCCCGCCUCUACGGUACCAUGGCGCUGCUAUGCCCAUGGCACUACUAUCCGUCGUCUCGUAUCUGCAUUCCUUUUCUUCACAAUUAGUAGAUAUGCCUCUGUGGCACUCCUCCGAGUCCACCUCCAUUCUAACUGAUGCUUGAUUUUGGGUAGCUAAGUCCCUCUGGACUCGUCGUCGCUUCCUCGCCCCUUUCGACCCCCUGCUUCAACACCUCUGUGUUCUCAAAGCAGCUCCCUUUGGUCGAUGGAAAGACAGACUACAACUCUCAUGCAUGGCCUCUGCCAUCACGUUGUAGGGUUUGCACCGAUUCUGUUUUCCUUAGCUUCCUUGGUAGCAACGUUCGCUUACUCGACCUUGUCCUCUGACUUGCCGGGCUCCCUUAAGCGAAUAUGAGCUUUAGAGCAGUCUAACUCUCCAGUUGCUUCGAUCAUACCUCUGUAUGACCAAAUCCCUCCCAUGGGACUCACUGGUACUUGCAUUCGAACUUUUCCCUUGGUGGAACCCAGCCCCCAUAUGCUGACGACCAAGGUUUUCAUCCGAUGCAACCUUCGAUGCACGCACGGAAGGCCCGCCUCUGCGGUACCAUGGCCUUCACUCCUUGAAUCCAUAGCCCUUCUUGCCGUCGCGUUGUUCACCGAAGUAGAGCUUCCAGUAGCUCCUGAUCAUACCUUUGUAUGAUCUAGUCCCUCACGGGACUAGAUUGUGUGUAUCGCAUUGCCACGAACUGUUCCACCACGAUCCGCUGCACCAUGUCGCCUCCUGGUGGCAUCUUUAUUACAUUCUGAUCCUUGUGGGAUGAACUCGAAUUGUGAACCCUUCAUGUGUGGCCUCUGCCAAUACAUCGCAGGGUCUCUUCCACAUUCGAUUUUGUUCGCUCCUUUGGCAAUCGACCUUCAUCCACCCACUCUUGGGUCACACCUAGAUGAAGCACCGCUCUAGGACAGUCCGUCGCCUAGUAGCUCCCAAAGUCCCCCGACUUCGUUGCAAUUAGUGCACCAUUGUCUGGAUCCUGGGCCUCUAUCCCUACCAGUACAAUCUUCGCUAUGCACCGCUUCCUUUAUAGCAACUUGAAUGACAACACUGUGGCAUAUUCUUCAAGAGUACCUGCCUCUGCAUCCUUUUGCCUCGUGCUAAGGCCUUCUGAACCCAACUUCGCCUCCGCAAAUUGAGUCGCCUUAGUUCCUCAUUAAAAUGCUCCUCCGAGAUAAGGUGCAUGUGCCCAGAAGCUCCCUUCGUCUUUGUCACCAUGCAAGAUGAGUCCGCUCCGUCAGAAUGAAUGACCCAUGGAACAAUAUGAUCCUGCUCUUGCCUCUGCAAGAGUUCAUGUCCUUGACCUCUGUCCAAGGAAAGCACUAUGCCUCUGCUCUAUAUUCCAUCUUCUAUACUGGCUCCCUUCAUGCGGCUUGGGUACUUCGCCAAGUUACACCCAAGUUGCUCCGCUCCUCGUUUUUGCAUUGAGUUGAUGGUGGCCCUCGCGCCCACCAUUCCACGGGUCAGCUCUCCCUUGAGUCCGAUCUCCAUAUCGACUCCAAGUGUGCCUUCAUUUGUGUUGCUUUGGGUCGCUCCCCCACUUGAUCUCGCAAUGCAUCCACCAAUGCAUUCUCUCAAGCGAGAUCAUGUGACGACUCCUCGCCGCUUGCUCAGUCCAUUGAGCUUCAUAGGGUUGUUGUUUGUUGAUGUACUCCUCCUCAACUUGUGAGGUCCGUCCCACAUGAUUCUCCCUCUGGAGAGCCGGGACUUAUCCCUCCUGGAUAACUAUCCCGUUGGAGCAACAUCUCUCUUCGUUUCGGAGACCACCAUCCCCUUGGACUACUCCGAUCUGCUGAACAAACUGUGCAUUGUUCUGCCUCCUGCAAACACACUUGUUAGAUUGCGACUCCACGUUAAUACAGCCCCCGCUGCACCACUCAAGGCCUAGCAACAUGCUGAACUCGUUGCACACUUCAGCCUCCUACGGACGUAUCCUUCACAUGCCGAAGAGAAAGUUUCAAUGCUCCAUGGCGCCGAGUUUCGGUCGCCUUGGGAUGGCCGCGAACAUUCCAUCGUCCGUAUACAAGCCCAUGCAUGAGUACCGAAUUCUUCGAGUUAGCAAUUCCCCUCACCUCUGUGAGCUUUGCAAAACUCAUUCGAUCGCUGAGCAACUCAAUCUACCUUGGAUGGUCUCAUCCUUUACCAAGCGCCUCGCUUGCCUUGAGCACCAUCAGGUAUGGUUGUCAACGUUGAGCCGUAGCUCAAACUCAGCCAUCCCAACCUUUGUGCGCUCCGCAUUCUUCCAAGCUUGUCUGUUCUCGUGGUGCCUCUUGCGCGAAGGGUUGGCCAUUCCUCUGAAUGCCAAUCUCAGAUGCCCGCUCCUCCGAGCGACUCCUUUUCCCUACAUCUCCAUGCUCGUUUUCCCCCAAACGGUCGCGCGUGUGCUGACUGCCCUCAACGCAGCCCCGUUAGGUCCCCCAAGUUUGCAUGCUAAGUAUUUCUAUGAGUGCUUGUCCCGCUCUGAUACCAUCUGUCACGGACUUAGCUGGUUUUGCCUAAGUCGUGUGGCACCCUAGCAUGUCCGUUCGUAAAGGUCAGCCUCCCCGAAGCCUCCCAUGUCCCUUAGGACCCACAAAAGAGAGAACAUGUUAGAGAAAACGCCUCAUUCGGGAUCCACAAGCAAACAUUUCCGAAAACACUUCAUAGACAAUGCAAAUUACAAACAAACUUUACAAGCUCUGAACAGUUGCACAACAAAGGGUAAAAUGGUCCAUUAUAGAUCGAAAAUCUCUCGCAUGUGUCCACAUUGCACAACCUUUAUUUUAUAAGCCUAAAGCUGCCACCAACCUAACUAAAAUGAGACUAUUAAGCCUUCGACCGUCCCUCUACAUGCUGUGUAGAGCAUGAACAUACCAAAAGACACGGACAUACAUAAGCAUUACAUCAAACAUCUUGUUUAGAAGUUUGCCUGUGACAGUGUGCUUCAAGCAUCAUCACACUAUCACCAUUUUGAGAUGCUUAGAAUAGCUGUAGAAAUGAUUUUUUCAGAUUACUUCUCACUGUUUCCAGUUAAUUUAGGUAAGAGACCCAACUUAGCUUUUUUAAGCUUUUUUUAUUGAUCCCAGCAGUUAUAUACAAUUUCCUCUAUUGUUUUUGUUUAUUUCAGAACUCUUUGUUUGGUUCUCGAUCUCUAUGCUCCAAUUUGAUUGAUAUGAACUAUGAUGUUUGGUGUGGUUCUUCUAUUGCAUCUGACACUCCAACUUUCAUGGUUUAUGAAACUCUUCUAGGAUGGUCAAGUUCUCUUUUCUAGGUCCUCAUCAUUUGCUAGUUGUCUUGAUUAUUCUAAAACUAGAUCGGUCAAUUCAAUGAGAUCAAUAGACUUGUAUGAGUCAACUCAAUUGGGUUUUAAAAGAAAUAAAAAAUAGCAUUGUCUUUAAGGCUCCAUGUUGUCAUCGACAGUCAUUGCACGUCGGCAACACCUUUGUCAAUGGAUUAUUCGUUGCUCAUGUUUGUACUUUGUACAACUUGUACAGUUGUUUGACAUUAUGUUUUGCUUAGUUUUUGUAAGCCUAUAUGGUUCAUAAGCCAGUUCGGAUCGAUAUGAUAGUCCCAAGUCGGUCGACUAAUGGAAGAUAAGAAUUCGUGUAGCACCUACAAGUAGUCAUGGCGGAUCUCACGACAAGAAUUACAAUGUUCAUGAGAGCCCUACAUGCGGGAGAGGGUAACACCCAUGUCACGACCACAAAAUUCAAAGGCAUUCGAGCCACACUGCCAUGAUGGUGCUAGAGAUGCAAAGGAACUAAAAAAAUUUCUGUUCAACAUGGAGCAAUAAUUUUGGGCAAUGGUACUCAAUUAUGAAGAAAACAAAGUGUCGAUCAUGACCAUAUAUUUGAAUAGGGACACGAAGCUCCGGUGGUACACUCGAUGGGAAGAAAUCUAACAAGGGUGUGCCGGAUAGACACAUGGGAGGAUUUGAAGCGUGAAUUGCGAACUUAGUUCCUGCCCGAGAAUAUUGAGUUUAUUGUUUGUCAGAAGUUGAGGAAUCUUUGUUAAACCACCUCCUUUUGAGACUAUGUGAAGUAGUUCUCGACAUUGAUGUUGGACAUAGAUAGUUAGUGAAAGAAAAAUUGUUCAGCUUUCUCGAUGGCCUGAAGUCGUAAGUGCAAUAAGAAUUGUAUUGGCGGAAUGUUUUCGAUCUGGUUGGGGCAAUCACAGCUGUAGAAAGGCUUACCGGCUUUAUUUCCUUGGAGGACUCGGGAAGAAGCAAGCUUUUGGGGAAUCGACCAUGUAAGUAUUCUUGAGAAAAAGAGCCUACCACCAAACAAAAGACGAAGAGUUCACCACAAGGGUUGAGUUCGAAAGGCAAAACCCAAAAAACCCGUAAACCCGUGGAUGCUUUUUGUGUGGAGGGCUGCACAUGGUGAUGUCUGACAUUUAUAAUGAGAAAGAACAUGAAAAACAUUUAAAAAUUUAUUUGAAAUAGCCAAAAGAGAAGAAUUCGUCUUGAAGGAGAAAAAAAUAGAAAUAAGUAAAAGAAAUAUAGAUUUUUAGAACUCACAGUAGAGCUAGGAAGACUAAAAGUACAAGAACACAGUAAAAAAAAUGGUAGAAACACGAUAACUUAGAAGAAACAAAGAACUUACAGAAAAUCUUAGGAAUACUGAAUUAUGUGAAACCCUUUAUUAAAAAUAUGAGCCAAUUAACACUACCAUUAUAUAAUAAACUAAAAAAGUCGGGACAAAAGCACUUUAAUAUGGAAGAUAAAAAAUUAGUAAAAAAAUAAAAUAAAAAAUAAAAAGCUUACCACAAUUAGGAGCUGUAUUAUAAAAAUUAGAAGACAAAGAAGAAAUUUGUAGAUACAGUGGUGGAAAAUAUGAUAAAAAGAUAUUAACUUCAACAAAUGCUGAGAUAGAGACAAUAAUAAAUGCAAUUAAUACUUUUAGAAUGUACCUAGGUAAAGAGUUUAUAAUAAGAACAGAUUUUCAUAGAAUGGUAGUUUGUUAUAAUAAAACUCACAAAAAUACUAGUGCAAAGGAGAUGGUAUAGAUUUGUAAAUUACAUUACUGGAAAUGGAUAUAAGCCACAAUUCCAACAUAUCAAUGGAAAAGAUAUCACUGACUAUUUAAGCAGAUAAUUAAUAAGGCCAAUUAGAGAUGAUAUUUACUAUCUAGAAUCAAUACAAAAAUUCAUAUGACAUAAUCUUUAGAUAUAAUGCAUAUUUAUUCGAAGAAACUGAAGAAGCAAGUUUUACUAUUUACAAUUUUGGACAAUAAUAACUUGGUGCAAAAUGAAAGAAAAAGAAAUAUUUAUAUGCCAAGCAUGGUGUACUGAUUAUGAUUAUGAAUGUAACAUAAAUAAUAUACCAUAUGCAUGUAGUAAAGAGGCAAUAAAAAUAAAAGAAGUACUUGUGGGAUUAGAAUAAUUAGCUCUAAAAAGAAAGUUCAAAAACUGAGUGUACGCAACAAUGAUAGAUAUAUCAUAAAGAAAAUAGUAGAUUAUUCCUACGAAAAAGAUAGGGACAGAGAUUUUGAAGAAAAUUAUGUUUUCCAGGAAGAUGUCCUCCCAAGGUUUCAAACCAUUUAGAACUGUGUUCUUCCUUCCAUUUGAAGAUCAGACCAUAAUAAAUGACAUUUUCAACUACUCAUACUUCAGUCAACAUAGAUUAGUUAUCAGAUGUCUGCAUAGAUUAGCUGCAAGAAUAAAUGGGUAUAACAACAGUUUGGUAGAAGCACAGAACAGGAUAAGUAAUAGUCUUGUAGAAUUCCAGCAGUAUAUGAAUGUAGAUAUCGACCAGAAUCGGUUAUUAUUAAAAAGGAUUAGUGAAUUAGAAGUCAAAAACCAAAAAGUAAAAAAAAUUAUCUAGAGGAGCAUCAAGAGUUAGAAGAGACAGUGUGGCAUAGAAAAAGGUAUGAAAAAGAAGAAGAGCUAUGUGUUAAUCAUGUUGCUCGACAAUUUGUGAAAGAGUUCAGAAUGAAGAAAUUACCACCAGAGAUUUAAAUUUAUAUAUGGGAAAUUGCUAAAACCAAAGAUAUGAAGGAGCUUACGCAAUUCCAAGAUGAGCUUCAUGAACUAUUCUUCUUACAAGUUCAAGUACCAGAAUCUCCACCUAGAGGACCUGGUGUACCUUGUUCAUGAACAAUUACUCCAGUGAUUCAAAAGGAAUAUUAUGAAAGUAAUUAUGUUAACCCUGAAUAUGAGAACAUGAUUAUAGCAGACUACUUUGGUUAAGAAGUUAAAAAUUAAAUACUCAGAAUGGUAUAAUGAACAAUGGAGCAAGCUCAAAAAAGGUAGAGACCUAUCAUAUUUUCUAGAAAGAGGAUUGGUUGGAGGAAUCAUUUUCUGUUGUUUACACUCAAAAAACAUCGAAAAGGACAUCCCAUACAAGCUCAAAAUGGUUGUACUUUCAAUACUAAAUCGACAUAACUUUGAUAAUGUUAAAGUCCACUCCUGCCUUGCUGAAUAGACGUUCAAUGACCAGAUGAUUCCAGGAUAUUUUCAGUUUCUGAUCCAUUCUUCAAACUAUUAUAUAAUGACCUUUAAUCUGAUAUAAUCAAUAAGAAAACCAACUGAAGACUCUCUCAGAAAGUAUCAAGCUAAAUAUAUUAUGGACAAUGGAUAUCAAAGUGGAACUAGACUUAUUGCUCAAGGUCUUUGGUACGAAGUAUAUUUUGAUCAAUUUAUGCCUUUGAUGCAAUUUAUACAUAGAACCGAGGAAGUUAAUCAAGAAAUUAUGUUUGAAACUGAGAAUGCAUCAUGAAGGAGAGACACCUAGGUACACUACCCCUUGGGAAUGGGGAAGUGAUGUAAAUAACGAAGAAAAUAAUGAAGACUGAGGAAGGCGAUUUGGAUGAAGAAGACAAUCUAGCAAAUGAAAACAAGGAAGAUUUUUUUAAAAAUCUUGAUCAAUACCAUGAUGAGUUACGAGCUCUAGAUGAUCGUCACUGAGAUGACGGAUAAAAGCCACAUGUAACUACAGAAACCACCACAUGUAUAGUCUUGCUGACGCAAAAUGACAAAACUCAAUCGGAUUGACGUUCAAAGGUAAGAUCUCAGAUUCGUCGAUGCAAACAAACAACCAACUCAUCAAAGUAAGGAUGAUAGCUAUCUAGUACAAAAAAUGUGUAACCAUCUUGAGUCUUUUGUAAACUCUAUAAAUAUCCCACAACCUUGAGUUAUAAGGGCAUUGACAAGCAACAACCAUACUUUGGUUAUUAAUAGCUCGUUGGUGCUCUUAAGAGUCUUUGUCUAAGAAGUCCGUGUCUAAGUCUUAGUCACCGUAAGUCUUACUUUAGUCUAAAAACUUAGUAAUCUUGUUUGUAAAGUUCUUUUUUGAUACACGUUUUAGUACCUGCGUCUUCUAUGUAAGACCAUUGGUCUAUUUUGCACGAAUUUUGAAUGGAUCAGGCAGUAGUAUUGCUUUAUAGCAUAUUGGAAAAAUUAUUUAUUACAUAUCCAAGUUUGCUUAGUUCUUCCAUACUAUAGUAAGAUCUUUUAGAAACGAAAAGCUUAGAAGCAGAAUUUACGAAAAUGAAAAAGCUUCGAAAUAAAAAUGGAAAAGCUUAGAAAUAGAAACGAAAAAAGUUUAGAAACAAAAGCGAAAAAGCUUAGAAACAAAAGAAAAAAAAAACUUAGAAACAGAAACGAAAACGUUUAAAAACAAAAAAAGUUUAGAAACAAAAGGCUUAGAAACAUUAGAAACCCCUAGCUCCAUUGCCCAUAUUUAUCACAUUUCUUAGAAACAGAACUUACGGAAAUGAAAAAGCUUCGAAAUAAAAAUGGAAAAGCUUAGAAACAUAAACAAAAAAAGUUUAGAAACAAAAAUGAAAAAGUUUAGAGAUAAAAACGAAAAUGCUUAGAAACAAAAGAAAAAAAAGAUAGAAACAAAAACGAAAACAUUUAAAAACAAAAAAGUUUAGCAAAAGGUUUAGAAACAUCAGAAAUCUCUGGUUCCAUUGCCCAGAUUUAUUACAUUUCUUUCUAAUUUUCGUAAGUUUUUCUAGAUUCGAGGGUUUAGGGUAUAAAAGGGUCCUUUUUAGGGUUUAGAUGACCACGAAUGACAAGUUCGUGGUCAUCUAUCUAUACGGUAUUAUUAUAUGCAACCAAACUAUGUAGGAGCAUGCUAAGCACAUUCCAACAAUAUUUAAGAUUCUCAUGUAGAAUACUUCGUUCAUGAAAAGGGAGAAAUGUCACUUGAAUAGACAAAUUUUAUUCUUGGGGCACUGAGUCGGUGAAGAGUUGAUUUGGAUGGACAAGUGAAAAGUGCACGUUGUGGUGGAAUGACAAACACUAAAGAAGGUGCCUAAACUGAGAUCCUUUGUCAACUAUUAUUGAUGCUUCAUCUCGGGGUAUUCAAAGCACAGUUCUAUCAACAGAGUUGCCGAAGAAGGAACAACCUCGGCAAUGGUCAGAAAAAUGCGAAGCAACGUUCUAAGACUUAGAGGCUAUUGUGUUAGAAGAACCAUUGCUCUUAUGAAUGGACUAUAAUAAACCUUUUGAAGUUUGCACGGAUGCUUCGGAUUUUGUUAUUGGAGUUCUUAUGCAAGAAGGUCACUCCGUGGCCUACGAGAGCCUCAAGCUCAAUAAGAUCGAGCGAUGGUACCCUGUGCUUGAGAAGGAGAUAGCAACAAUGGUUCAUUGUCUACGAGUGCGAAGGCACCCCCUUCUUGAAACAUGAUUUGUGCUAAGGACGGACUAUCGCAUUGAGUUUCUUCCAGACUUAGAUGAAAGCUCCCCCCAAAAUAAGCACGAUGGUAGGACUUUCUAGCUAAAUUUGACAAGGUAAUAGAGUACAAACCCAAACGAGCAAACGUCAUGGUUGAUGCCUUGAGCAGAAAGGUGGAGUUGGUGAAUGCAGUGCAAUUGGACAACGGAGGCCAAGGGAGUCAAUUACAAUCCAACUUUGUUUCCAGGAUUAGGGAUGAACUAUAUCAUGAAACCUAAGUAGCAAUCCUAAUGCAACUGAUGAAAGAAAGCAAAUGAUUUUAGUUCUCAGAAGGAUUUGUCUAUACCAACGGGAAUAGAGUUUAUGUUUCACGAGCAGACAAUUGAAGGCGUGAACUCUUAAAACUGUGAUAAUUCUCUUUGGGUCGGGCAUCAACUUUGCCUCUCAUGGUGAGGGUAUUCUAUUUGCCAACGAUGGGGAUUGAUGUCGAGGAAUAUGUUCGAACGUGCUUCAUAUGCCAAUAAGACAAUGUGGAGUAAUGAAAGUUUGUGGAUCUUAUAGUGCCCUUGCUUGGACCAAAGAGGUCGUGAGAGAGCAUUUCCUUGGACUUCAUAUUGAGCUUGUUGACUGUAAGAGAACUUGUGUCGAUAAUGGUGGUAGUUGAUCAAUUCUUGAAGUCAGCGGAGGAGGUGACGAAGCUAGUAAUGAAGAAUGUAGUGAAGUAUUGGAGAGUUUUACACAAUAUUAUCAACGAUCGAGAUGUGCGGUUCUUGGGAUGGUUUUGGACCGAGUUGUUUAAGUUAUUGGGAUCCAAACUAUACUUCUCCAUAAGUCUCCACCUUGGACAGAUGACCAAAUUAAACGAUUAAGCUUGGGAGCAAUAUCUCGUGCAUACGUGGGUGCAAACCAACGAGAUUGGGUGAUGCUCAUAGACAUAUAACCCAAUUCUCUUACAACUUGUAGCGGAGCUUUGAGUCAAAUAAGUGCCCCUUCAAGAUCACUAUCGGACAUGCCAACUCUCCACACUUUGAUGAUCUAUAUUUGAAAUAGCUUGACAGUAUAUCGCUUUGCAAAUGAAUGACACUGAAAUGUAAGUAUUGCAUGGGCAUACCUGGAGAAAGCGAUCAAAACGAUGAAGAAGUUAGUAAAUUUGGGAAGGCGACUAGAUGAAUUCAAGGUCGGCGACUGGGAUGGCGAAGCUCUAACCAGCAUCUCAGUUCUUUAGGCAAAUAGUGCACAAGGGAUUGGUGUGCCAAUACGAAGGGCCCUUCCCAAUCAUUUGCAGGGUAGGCAAUGCCUCCUAUAAGUAACAACUUUCGACAUGGUUCAAAAUUUACAAUAUUUUCCAACUUAAAAAGCAUACCACUCAAAUAGACAAGAUGCUUCUAGAAAUAUUUCAACUUGUCCACCCCCCACCCGUGCGUCUUAUGAAAAGCAACUUGAAGUCAUUCUAGCUGAUCACAAGACAAAACCAGUCGGGAGUUAGAAGACGCCUUGCGACAUGAAGAAUCAAGCACCAAAGCCUACCAGCGAGUAUCCACGAGGGCAACCUACCGGUCAUUCAAUGGCAUUGAUUGUCACUUCCUAUCUCACAGCCCAUAGGUAUGGUUCCUUUCUCUCCUCCCCUCUCUUCCCAUCUUGUCAACUCUCUUCUUUUUGAUCUUCUCCCAUCUCCUCUCCUCUCCUUACUAUCUCGCAGAAGCAUGACCGCUUGAGGUUUUAAGUAUUUUCAGAAAAAAUACUUGACAGUAUAAAUCUUUUCUUCUUUCUCUUUUCUGUUUCUAAAAAGCAACUUAUCUUUCUACUGUGGCACUGCCCUUGUAUAAUUUAGACUAAAAAGUCUUAUUAAUUUGGUAAAGAGUAAAGUUCAAGUACUGCCUGCUUCAGCAGAUUAAUUUUUCUACUUGCCUUGUAUCAUUUAGCAUUAAAAAUCACAUUAAUUUGAUAAAAGUAAGGUUCAAGUACUGUAAUGCAUGGUUGUCUAGCAAACUUGUAAUGGCUCUAGUGUAGAUUGUAGAUCUCUCCUUUUUUCUUCUUUAUGUUCUAUAAUAAAUGUUUAUCAUUAUGCUCGUUUGGUAGCCAAUGUCAAAAUUUGCUGUAGUGCACAUGAUUUAUUUAUUUAUUUAUAUUUAGUUUGUAGGAUCUUACGAUCCUACUAUCCUAUUCUAUGAACCAAGUUUAUGGACCCUCUUCUGAUCCAAGGUAGGAAAGCGAGUUUGAAAACAUUGAUCCUGAUGGCCAUCUGAUUAAUCUUCUUGUGAUUGUGCCAUGCCAAAUGAUGGUAACUUUAACACACUGGGUAGCUUUCCCUUUCCACCCAAUUUAAUAAGCCUUUUCACACUCUUAUUCCUUGGCAAACUAUAUCCUGUGUGAUUAGAACAAUCUUGGUGUUGUUUCUUGACUAGGAAUUACUAACGAUGUCAUUUUUGUUAUUGUUGACAUUGUAACUGCAUUGAACAUCAAUUGUUGUCAUCCUUCAAUCUGGGUUAUACUUUAAAUACUUUUAUGUCCUAGUUUCAUGUCAAAUGGCAGAGUUCUUCAAGUGUUCUAAUUAGUAAGUCCAUAUGAGUUAUAGGAUGAUGCAGUUUAAGAUUUUGUCAACUUGAUUCCUGUUUGAGUUCUAAAUUUUAAGUAGGACAAGAUUUGAUUUAUUGUGGGUCUGUUUGAGCCUUUGAGGUACAUUUAUUGAUAACAAUCUCUGUGUUGUUUUUUUUAAUCCCUUCUUUUAGGACUGAUUAUUCCUUUCAGUAAGCCAAUGAAAUAACCCAUAUUAAAGUUUUAUUUUUAGCUGAAUUAAGUUUGAUCAUGACAAGCUUGCAAGGUUCCCUACUCUACUAUCAGUGCUCCUAAUUAUUUUAGGCAUAGAACUUGGAUCUUAUUUUAAUUUUCUACAUAGACAAAAGAGAGUGGGUCAUGAUUAGCUUGAGUUAUCUUUUGUUGGUUCCAAGCAGUGUUCCACCUGUGACAAAUUUUUUUUUUUCUCUUUUUGCUUCCUAGUAUUAAUUUUGGGAAAAUAGAACCAGUGACUAUUGCUUCUGUAUGAUCCUAAAUUAAUCUCAUGCCAGUUAGAUUACUGCUUCUUUUGGUGUAUGUUUAAAUUAUGAAGGAUGAAUAUGGAAAUGGCAAUAAUACAGACUUGACAAUAUGGCAAAUCACUUCACUUCACAUAAAAUAAUUGUUUAAAUGUCCAAAAUUACAAGCAUGUUUCCAGCUUUUACCUGUCUUGAAGCCUUGUAUACUGGAGUGUCAUACAUAUGUGCACUAACAUAAUAGCAGAUAUUUUUAAAGUACUAGUGUUUUUUGAAGUACUUGACAUGUAUCAGGAAGUAUCCAACAAGUGUUGGUGUUUAAUACUAAUACAAAGCAAGCUUGACAAGUUUUUGAGAUGUCCUUUUGUUAUAGCCUCUGGAUAUCUAGUUGACGUUUAUAUAUUUAUAUCAAAACAAAUUAAAACUAAUCCAUAACACAGUCCUGGGCAAUUUGGGUGGAAGUACUGUAUAUUGGAAUCAGGAAAAUGUUCUUGAUGGAAUAUUUGUUCAGAUGUUGUUUCCAUUGAAUUUAAUUUCUAUUAUCAAGGUUUGUUGAGAGACACAUGUUAUAUAUUAUUCUCUCGGGAAGUGAAGAGAUUCUCACAUUUGAAGCAUGACUAGAAAAUGUUGAGAGAUAAAUUUAGAUGUUGGGAAUGCUCAAUUGCUAUGGAACUAUGAUCAAAGAAAGUUGCUGCCCAUGAAAUGUGUUAACAUAGGUGGAAAUAUAUUGUCUCCUAUUUCUGGUAGCAUAGUGUAGUGUCCUAGAUCUAAUUUUUCAUGCACUAUUAUUAGAAAUUGCAAAAAAUGUUCCUCUUAUUAUUUCUCAAACCUAGACCUAAACUAGAACUAAAAUAUAUCCAAUUUGAACUAGGAUUACAUUACGUUGGAACGUCCUUUAUGCUAUGGAGCCCUAGGAACCAAAAUAUUUGAACAUCAAGAGCAUGGUGCUUGCAUGUGCAAUAAUUCUAGUGGUGUUAAUUAUCAAUGAGCUAGAUGAAAUUAUGCUUCUAAGUUGCAAAGUGAUGUAGAAUUUUGUGCCUUUGAAAUUUAGUCUUUUAGUAUGCAUCAGUUUUUACUGGAAUUCACAACUAAUUAUUGUGAAAAACCAUAUGAUAUCGUAAGCAUUACUCACAUAUCUACAUUGGAUGUGGGUAAUUUGCUUUAACUUAUGCUCUAACAUGGACUUAGUGCUUGUUCUCAGAACCAAGGUUCUCAAUUUCGAUGUGUAUCGUCCGGAACGGGCGGUACGUACUAGUCCGAGAAGAUAUUGGUACGUGGAUCGUCCUCUACGAGGCAGUACUAGUGUUUGAUCGGUAUCGACGCAUACCGACUGGUACCACUCUCGAUUUCGAUCAUUACCAAGGCAUACCGGUUGGUAUGCCCUAGCAUAAUAGAUGGAGGUAUUUUUAAGAUUUUAGGGUGUACCAUCAGUAUACCCUGACAUACUGAUGGUACAUAUCGGUACGUAUCGUAUUGAGCAGAGCUCGGUAUGUCGGUAUGGACCGGUAUUCAAAACCUUGCUCAGAAUUAUGGUUCUUUUGUUGAACGAGAUAUCUUUGUUUCCUGGAACUGUCAUUGCAAUGCUGAUUAUAUUGUACCUUUUAAUGAGGUUUUGUAAUAUGAUAUUUAUUGAUAUGGGACUAGAGUAUUCCUAUGACAUUCGUUAAUAUUUUUUAUCAUCUUAGGAAUCUUCCAUUCCUGUGGUCCUGGUUGAAAACAGUGGGAGAUGCAAGACCAACAGUGGUGGGGAAAAGGUAUGUUAAGUUUUCUUUCUCGUCUCUUGCUGCUCUUUUAUCAGAAGUGUCGCCUCUCAAGAAAUUAACUAGGUAUGAUUUCUAAGAGCAGAUUCUUCCUGAUGGUACGCCAUGGAUUCCAAAUUUGGUGGAAGUAAUCACAACAGUUAUCGCUAAUGGGAGCAAGCCUAUUACGGUGGACCAGAAGUUGAUCGAGGGCCCCAAUCCAAAUGACAGGGGAAAGUUCUUCAUACCCCUUAUCCUGGCAUUCCAGGUCAGUUUUGUAUAUUAUGCCAUUUUGAACUUGAUGGACGAAAUUUAUUCUGGAAAUUUGAAACAAUCUAUUUGUGCUUUGUACUUUCAGUAUUUUUUCGUGGUUAAGGGGAUUCAACGUGCGAUUAAGCAAGACAUUAAACAGGAACGUAAGCCGCUCUGGGAGCUUCGCGACAUGGGCUUGGCAAAUCGCAAAUUCUAACAUUUCCAGUAUCGAUGAUGCUUGUUCUGUUUUUUGUUUUCGAUGCGUCAAACUAUCCUCGAUUAUCUUUUUGUUACUUACUGAAUCAGAUGAUAGAACUCAUUUUUCUAUCAGAGAAUGAGUUCUUUAGUUCUUCCAGCAGCAUUUUUUAACAUAAUUCGCAUUUUGGAAAUGAUGUUGCUUUGCAAUGGAUUCUCUUUAUUAGUUGAAUAGCAAACUGAUUCUUAUGGUAUUUCCUUUUGUUUAUAACUAUUACUCGUAAUAUAACCUUGGGUUACAAGCACGCAAACACCAUUUAGUAAUUAAGUUCGAUGUCAUUUUAAGUAGGGAAAAAAAGCUUUAAUCAGAAGCCAUCAUUAGGUAAACUAAAAGUUCAUUGCCUUGUUUUAUGAAACUGUCCUUUAACAUGUAUCAUGCUUUAUUCUCUUUAUGGGUACCAUGCAAGAUUUGGGGAAUGAGUUGAAUCCAUAAAUAUUAUGACUAUUUUUCUACACGCUCAUAUUAAGAAUAACAUUCACUCUUUAAUAGCAUGGACGCAUAUAAUUUAUGUUGUGGCCAAAAAGGAAAAAAAAGAUAUAAUAGGAAACUAUAAUCAAUUAAAUGUUGAAAGGUAGCAGUACUUGGAAGAUAUAAUGCAACAAAGCUAUCAAAAAUAUGAGCAAGCUUACUCUCUUUUUUUUACUAUUGAUAAUAUCUUGUUAUUGAUAAUUAUUCUAAAAAUAAUAAAAUAUUAUUUUUAUUAUUUAUAAUUUUAAUGUUAUUGAUAUUAUUAUUAUUAUUAUUAUUAUUAUUAUUUUCUCUUCAUCCCAUCGAUGUUGUUGUGGUUUGUUGCGGUUAUCGCUUGUCAUCCUUUUCAAUGCCUCUCAAUUUGUUGUCGGUGUUGUUUGAUGUUAUCAAAUUUAGACGUUGUCCUUCCAAGAGAAAGAAGAAGAGUAUGAAGAAUUUAAAAUAUGAAGAAGGAGGAGAAAAAAAAGAAAAAGAAAAAAAAGAAGAGGGGAGGAUAUUUUUAAGUCUAUUUACCAAAGAGUAAUUUAAAAAUAUUAAAAAAAUAAAAUAAAUUUAAUUGAGCAAAUAAUAGUAAUCUACAUAAUAAGGCCCUAAUUAAGCACAACUAAAGUAAAAAGAAAAAAAAAUCACUAUAAAUUUAACUGAAGAUAUAAUGGAGCCUUAUAUCAUAGAAAACUAUCAAAAAGAGUAUUCUAGAAAAAAUAAUUAUAAUGUUGAAUGGACUACGAGAAGAAAGAAAAAUCGCUUAAUUAUGAAUAAGUUCUGGUACGUAAACGUGCCAUGUCAACUUAGUUUUUUUUAUGUGAUACAUGCCAUUAAGUCACACGUAAAUUAUAAUAUUGUCUAUCAACUUGACAUGUUAAAUUAAUUCUAAUCAAGCACCGAUGAACCAUAAAUCAAGACCUCUCUCCUCCGCUCUGAAUGCCUUGUGAUGCGGGAAGCCUUCUUCCGUACGACCAAUGAAGGCUUCAACAAGCUCUCAAGUAAAAAAUCAUACUCUGGCAACUCAUUUAUCCCAUCCCGAGGUCGAUAUUGAACAUUUUGACUAUUAAGUGUCGAACGUGUCAGAAUUAUUAUAUAAAUUAAUCAUCUCAGACAUGUGAGAACUCAAAACAAACUUAUGACACUCGUGAAUACUUAAACAUCGAGAGAUUUUUUAUCGAACAAACCUCUAAUAUAGUCUUUUGCAGCAACAAGUGGGGCACAAUAUACAAUUAUCUUCUGCACUCCAACUAAAGAGGAGAAGGGUAAGAGACACAAGAUACAAACAUCUCAUGCUUUCAUAAAAAAGAUCGAAUCUCUUCUUUCGAACGUGAUAGUAUCUAAAACAUGAGAUAGGUUGAAUCGAUUUUGUCAAGUCAAAUUGACAACCAAAUUUUACCUUAUCAAACUAGUGCUAGAACGACAGGCCUUAAGACAAUAUCAUAAAAAACUCGAAUUACAAAUGUACCAUAAGAAUAUGUUAGUGAAAAGACUCCCCUCUUAGACUUUAGUUACAACUAUUCGCAUCAUGCAAAAGACCUUUACCUCCGCCUUCACAAGAAUAUGUAACUCAAUCCUAGAAUCACAUUACCAAUAACGAGUAUCAGAUUACAUUCGAAAGUAUAAAUUAGCUUAGUUGGUAAGGACUUUGAUAGUAUAUCGUAAGGUCUUAGGAUUGUAUCCCACCUUCGCCUUAUACCAUUUGCACAAGAAAAAAAAAAGAAACUAUCAUAGAUUUAUUCCCUAAUUGAAAAUCUAGUUGAAGUUAUCAUUCCUACUAAGACCUCACCCAAAAUAAGAUGAAGCCUUGAUCGGAAUGGCGCAACGCAGAUGCAGACUAUCGUACCUCUUCUCUCAUAAUUGGCAUAACUAGAAGCAACGUACAAUCCAAUUAUUCAUCAACCGCACCAAGUUCCUCAACCGGGACAAGUUCCAACUCCCACAAGGAACUCUAGAUCGGUCAUCUCAUCAAUCGAACUAAUGCCUGAAGCCCCUUCUCAAGCGUCGUAAUCACUUGCUAAGAGGCAGAUCCAACAUAGCCCUAACUAUUUCAACUUCAAUCUAAAGCAUAGUCCACUGACAAGACAAGUCUUAUUAUGCAUCAACAAUUGCAAGAAAGACAAGCACCUCA